rnacentral:lncRNA from 1 species
GUGUUGGUUUGAUUGUUUAUAUUGACGAUAUGAUUUGUGUAUGUUUCGGUUCCUAUGUGCAGAAAAGAUUAUGAUGCGAAGAUAAUUGUUGAUGUGGAUAUUUCUUCUUUUCUCCAUACCUGGUUAUUGUUUGCAAGUUAUUUUUGCCGAAGAUCGAAAUGCCUAGGAUUAUUUAGGAUCACUUUCUGGUUUGGUUUAGAUUUGGUAGAUUGUUCACCAUGUAGGUAGAAUAUUUUCUGGUUGAUUUGUGGUGUUAGGUAUUGGAAUAAGCAGAAUCAAGGCUUCAGAUCGAAGAUAUUUAAAUUGGUUACGUUGGCCUUCUGUUUGAUUGGGGAAUUUGUGUUUUUAAUGAAUUGCGAUGCAGCUUCACACAGAUCUGAUGAUUGGUUCAUUGAUUGAUUUCAGCUCUAGUAGGAAAGAGAGGGUGAUUCCUGAUAUUAACGCUGUGUUGCGGAUAGCUUGAUAAUCGAUUUAAUAUGAUAUUUUUGGAUUAUUGCAAUUUAUUCCUCUUUUCACGUCUCCACGGAGACAUCCAUUCAAGUUCGGUGAUUUUAAAUGAGUUUCUCUCUCUUGGGUCAAGUGUUAUUUCGUCCCUCCUUCAACAAGUGUUCACAGUUUGAUCAUUUUUUUAAAUCUUUAAACUCUGUUUAAAAUGAUUGUAUGAUGGCUAGCAAAAACGGUUCUUUUGGUGGUUCCUUUCUGUAUCUUUUCAAGAUUGGUGGUUUGUGGUUUGAUUUUCAGGAUCAGGGAGCAUUUUAUGUAAUCCUUUUAAACCUGUCGGCAGGGUAGCGAGGGAGAUUUUCUUUUACCCUCUUUUUUGUGCCCUCGUUAAUUUAAUUGGGCAUGUAGAACUAGUUUCUGUGUUUUGAGCUAACUGUUCGAAGAGAUGUUGACUGUGUAUGAUAAUAACCUAAUGUGAUAAUAUUUAAAUUUUUAGUGCCUCCAAUGUAUCAUACUAUGGAGCAUAGUGUGAUCAAACAUGACGUUGUUUGGGAAGUAUUCUCCUUUUUUGGUCUGGAUUCUCUUAAAAAUGAGAAAUAUCUGAGCUUUGUAAGGCAUCCUGAUCUUCUGCUUCUUUAUCAGGAAGAUAGAUAUAACAAAUUUUACUUAAAAGACAAGAAUUUAUAGUACUUCCGAGUAUAAUAGUAGUAAAUGAGUUUUAGAUGUUUGUUUUCCAGGAUCUGUAUGUCAUGGACCAAUAGUGAUGCAUAAGUGGAUUUGAGUGGGAUUCCAGCGACUGGCAGCUUGUGCCUUGUGGAUAGGCACGAAUAGGAAGUCUUUGUUUGAGUUUUGGUGUAAGAUGUGUUUGAUACAAUGGUAUUCAGUCCUUCAUAGAAGAUGCUCUUUUUUGAUACAAUGGACUUGAGAUGAACUGUAUAUAGGGAGAAGUUGAUGUGAAAGGGAGUAUUCAUCGUCUUCUUUUCAUGUUGGUGGUUUUUAGGUGUAAGCUUUUUUUUUGUCUGUUUCUAUUGGUCCACAGGUGGUGUUGUGGUUAAUUCUGAUAACCAUAGUAAUUUUUCAGGAUUCUGUUAAUGUAGUGGACUAAUGGAUUUGGGGAGAGACAUAUAGAUAGAGAUGUUCUUUUUGCUGCACUCAUUUGGUGUUAGCUACAGCUUAGAUGUAAGCUUGAAUAUUCUAUCUACAACUCAAUAUUUGAUAAUAUCUGUACAGGCUUGAUCCGGAAGUCUUUUUGUACCUUGGUUUUUGGUUGAGUUUUUCUACUUGAGGUUCAAAUUUGUUCUUCUCAAGACCUGUCCAUCAACUUUGAUUAUUCCAAGCAUUGAUGAUUCCCUGGUGUGAUUUCCAGGUCCAUGGAGCAUUUUGGUGGUUGGAUGCUAUGUUCACGGUGAAACCUGGGUAGUCAGGAAGAUUUUUCUUUUAUCUCUCCUUAUUUUUCUGCCAGUUAAAUUUAUACCUCCAUACACUUUAGUCACACAAAACUAGUUUCUGAGUUUCUAUGUGUGUGUUUCCAGCUUUUGACGAAGAUAUGGAGCAGGGAGUUUUCUUGCCUCUUCUGAUGUUUGCUCUUCCCCAUUCUUGUGUGAAUAUUGUUAUAAUACUAGAUUUUCUUUAUCAGGUUUCCUUGGAUCCAGUGGAGCCUUCUCCCUCUCUCUCUCUUCCCUUUUUUUUGCUUGUUUGAGAAAAAUAUUUGGCUCCUUUCCCUUAAUUAUCUCUUCUUAAAUGUGUACAGACAUACACACAUUGCAUAUCCAAUCCUUUAUUUAAUCUCUGCUCCUUCUCAUCUUGGUUAUGAAAUUGAGCAGGCUUUUCUAAUGAUUCCACGUUUGGAUUUGUUUGUCGUUCCUUGUGUUUAGUAAGCUUGCUAUGCUGAUAAUAUAUUUUGUUCAAUCCACUUUGAGUUCUACAGUAUCAUUUAAAGCAAUGAUGUUUUGUCAUUGACCUUUCAAACUUCUUUUGUGUUAGGGGUAGGAGCAAUUUAGCACUGUUCCAUCUUGGUUAUGAUCUUUCCUCAUGUUUUUGCUGAUUAUCUAUUUUAGGAUGUUUGUUUGGUUAUUGGUUCAAAGAUCAUCAUCUGAAGCUACAUUUGGGUUUUUUUNNNNNNNNNNNNNNNNNNNNNNNNNNNNNNNNNNNNNNNNNNNNNNNNNNNNNNNNNNNNNNNNNNNNNNNUUUUUUUAUUAAGUUGGUUUUUGCUUUUUCCUUCUAGUAAAGUGUUAUUUGUACUUCCAUCAACAAGUAAUCUGUGUUUUUUUACGUCAUGUUAAAUCCUUUUUCGAGGCGUGGAUUAGGAUCAUUCUUGGAUAUCAUCAUCAUUACUCUUUGCUUAAGUUCCUUUGUCCUCAGUAUUGGUGGUUUGUGGUGUGAUUUCCAGGAUUUCCAGGAUAGUGGAGCAUUUAUGUAGUUCAAUCCCAUGUGAAUUGUGAAGGCUGAAACUUGUCAACAGGGUGUGGUCAGGGAGAUUUUUUUUAACCCUAUUUUGUGCUUCUCUUAAUAUAAAUUUAUAUAUUCAUAGUUACUAGGCCAUAUAGAACAAUUUUCUGAUUAUGUAUGUUUGCAUUUGCUGUCAACUUAUUGUUUUGAGGACGAUGUUUACUAGGAAUGAUAAGGGAGUUUUCUUGCCUUCUAGAAUAUUGAUUCUAUUCGGUUUAUGCCGGUAAAAUCAUGGAGUGGGUACUCUCUAACUUUUAGAGUUUUUUUGGUCUCCUGAUCCAGGUUCAUAUACCCCAGUUUUUUUUGCCUAAUCAAAUAUAAGGAGCCUAGUGUGAUAAAAUUAUGGUAUUGAUUUGGAAGUAUUCUCUCUUUUGCCUGGAUUCUCUUAAAAUUCAGAGAUAUUUGAGCCCCAUUCCCUUGAGUUUCUGCAUCCUUAUCUUCUGCUAGGCUUCGAACUUGCAUUUGCUUUUCCAAUGAUGCCAUAAUUGUUUUAGGGACUUGGAGGAGUGCAACAGGCUUGAUUAGGAUGUUAGUUCCUCAGUCAGAGUUCAUAAAUUUUAAUAUAAGAAUGUGAUGUCCUUGUGUAAGAACAGUAAUAAAUAAGUUCCAGUCUCUUUCUUUUUUCAGGAUCUGCAUGAGUGCAUUGACAAAUUCAUUGUUUAUGCUUGGUGAAACCUGUCGGCAGGGUGGUCAGAGAGAUUUUUGUAUUUUGCACUUCUGUUGAUUAGAUUACUAUAUUCAUAGUCAUAGGCUUGUAUAAUUAUUUUCUGAUUAUGUAUGUAUGCAUGUGUUUUUAACUUAUUGUUUGCGGCAGAUGUUUACUGGGAAUGAUAAGGAAGUUCUCUUGCCUCUGGGAAGUGUCCUCUCUUGUGCCUUGGUUCUCUAAAAUGUGAGAGAUAUCUGAGCUGCAUGCACUUUGGAUCGGUAGUGAUGCAGGAAGAGAGCAAUGUAAUUAAAGUGUUGGCCAUGAUUUCUUGUUAUGUUGGUAUGGUGCAUGAAGCUUAAGGUGAUUAAGUAGGAUGUUGCCUUUUGUCUUGUCUCUGGGGUCCUAUGGCUGGGUGUUAACCUGAGUGUGCCUCCAGUGAAGUCUUUGUGGCAUCUUAUGGAUGGUCAUGAACGGGAAGUUAUUGCUUUGGUUUUGGUUGAAGGUGUGUUGGAUACAAUGAUAUUCUGCCCAUAAGUGUCUACCCAAAGAUGCACUGUGAAAUUUCCAGUCUCCCCUAAAAUAAGCUUCUGGAUGGGGAAGUUCACGAUUAUGGAGGGAGUAAUUGUUGUCCUCUGCUCAUAUUGUUGAGGUUCUGCGAGUAGUAUCAGAGUGUUGUGUUUCUGCUUUUAAUAAUCUUGAAUUCUUUUUGCAGUUUCUGUUCUCAUUCAUGGCGUGGUGCAGAGCAGUGUUCAAAUGUCUUGUUGGAUUUUCAUUUUUAUUUGUUCUUUUAUUGGUUCAUAGACGUUUGGUACUUGGUAGUCCUUGAUAUAAUGGAGACAUAUUUUGGAAGAAAGAGUUUUUGCGUUGGUUUGUUGUUGGCUUCUUGAUACCGGCAUUGACAAGAGCUUGCACCUUCUUUCAAUGGUGGAAUAUCAGAGAAUAUGCGCUCAGGCUUUACCAGGAAGUCUUUUGUGCCUUGGUUUUUGGAUGGAAGUAUUUCUAAUUGACUUUCAGAUUUCUAGUACUUAAGCAUAGCAAUUUGGAUGCAUGAUUGAUUUGUGGUGUGAUUUCCAGGAUUGUGGAGCGUUUUUUUCUUGUUCAAUCCUGUGCACAUGGUGAAACCUAUUUGUUGUAAUUCUGAUGUCUUCCCUUACCAGGUUUUCUUGAUUCCAGUGUGUAGUCAUGGAGCAUAUCGAGAUCAAUUGAAGAUUCUAAUCAAGAAGUACCCUCAUUCUUUUUUCUCUAACCUUUUUAAGGAACUUUUAAAGUCUAAGCUGCAUGUGUAUAUAAAAUUCUCCCAUUGAUGUUUCAACUACUUAUAUACCCUACCAAAGAACAUGAUUGCUAUACUUUUAUCUUUUGCAUGUCCCUAGAAGUUAUAUGCACGAGUGCAUUGAAAAGUUCAUGGGCUUUGCAUUGACCAAUAGUGAUCCAGGGUGUUGUGUUUGAUAAGAUAAAUGUGUUGGCUGUGAUUUCUUAUUAUGUGAUCAAGUAGGAGACUGCCUUUUGUUUCUAUUGUCUCUGGGUCCUGUGGCUGGCUUCUGCUCUUAGUACCAGUGUUGUUCUGCUAUCCAGCCUUCCAGUGGUUCUUCUUGCAGCAGCUUGUGAACAGGAAAGUCUUUGCCAAGUUUUUGGUUUAACAUAUGCUCUGAUACAAUGAAAUUGUGUCCAUCAUAUUCCAUUAUGUGGUCUCACUCAAAGAUGCACUUUCUUAUGUCUCCAGGUUCUCUUGAGAUGGACUGUAUUAGAGGGAGAAGUUGAUGUUUGUGAAGGGAGUAUUUAUUGUCCUCAGCUCAUGUUAUGUUGGGGGAUUUCGGGUGUAGUUUUCUUGUUUGUUCUGGGUUCCAUCAAUGUAGUGGACAUAACAGGUUGUGUUGAGAUUUGCAUUCAUUUGGUGUCGGCUCUUUGGUUAGAGAUGUGAGCUUGCAUCUUCUACUACUCAUUAUUUGCAAAUAUGUGCACAGGCUUGAUCAGGAAGUCAUCUGCACCCACCUUGUUCUUUGGUUGAAUUUUGUUCUUCUAAAAUACUGAAGUAUUUGGGGUCCAUCAACGAUGAUUUUGUGGUGUGGUUUCCAGGGUCAUGGAACAUUUUUGUGGUUGAAAUCCUAUGUGCAUGGUGAGAGCUGUUGGCUGGUUAGGUUAGUUCGUGGAGACUUUUUCAUUUCUUUUUUUCUGGCAACCAAAUUUAUAUUUCUGUACUCAUUAGGCACAUUGAAUUUCUUGGUCUGUAUUUUUGUGUGUCCCCAGCUUUUUAUUUGAAGAGGAUGUUUAAGUAAGAAUGAUCAGGGAGUUUCUCUUGGCUCUUCCUAGUGAAUGUUGUUAUAAUUUUGAGAUCUUUCCUUGACAGGUUUCCUUGAUUCCAGUGUUAAAUUGUGGAGCAUAAUGGUAUCAAUUGGUGAAGGUCAAGAACUACUAUGUUUUUUUUUGGCUGUUUGAGAAAUAUAAUUGUGAUGCUGAAUGGGAACAGUUGAUGGUGCUCAUCUUGGAAGUGUUCUCUCUCUUUUUUUUUUCCUUCUUUUCGUGGCUGUUUGAGAAAUAUUUUGCACCGUUUUUUUUUGGGGUCUCCCUUAGUUUGCUGUUUGAGAAAUAUGUCGUCUUUAAUUUGAUCUAUCCCCUCAUCGUCUUGGCUAUGAGCUUGCACUUGCUUUUUUCCUGCGACUCCAUGUUGUGUUGUUUGAUUUAUGGUUCCCCUUAGUAAUGCUGUAUGGGCAUGUAAAUUGUAUUUUGCUCAAUAUGCUUUGCAUUAUGUGCAUGAGAUACCAUUUAAAGCAAUAAAAUCUCUUCUCAUUGAUCUUUCACAUUGAUCUUUCAAUUUCAUUUUUAGAUGUUUCAACUUCUCUUUCCUAAUUCUUAAAAAGGCUUGGCUAAUAUAGGCGUUUUAGCAUGUUAAAAUUUCAGAUUUAUUGAAGGUUUACCAACUGUGAUGUUUUGAGGAUUGAUGAUUUGUGGUGUGAUUUUCAGGAUUGUGGAGCAUUUUUUUUGUAUCCCAUGUGCAUGGUGAAACCUGUUGGCAGGGUGCUCAGGGAGAAUUUUUUUUUUUUACUAUCUCUAGUUUUGUCUGGCAAUUAAAUUUAUGCAUCUCUAUUUAUUUAGGCACAUAGAUUAGUUUCUGAGCUUGCAUUUUUGUAUGUAUUUCCAGCUUGUUAUUUGAGGAGAACGUUAAUCAGGGAGAACUCUUGCCCUUUCUAAUAUCAGCUCUUACCUUUAUAUAAAUGGAAUUCUUGAGUGAGUAGGGUUGUAAUUUUGGGAUCUUUCCUUAUCAGGUUCUUUCUUUUUUUGGUGUCACUUUUGUGUUUUUGGUCUUUUGAACUUAUUUCCAAAUCUUUGAAAAGAUCUUUUUUUUUCUCCCUUCCUUUCUUGGACUUUCAUUUUUGGAAAAUUUGCUAAUAUUUUAGUACAUUAAUGUAUUGCACUUGGGUAUGACGAAUUUGAUAGGAAAGUAGGAGUAAGUACUCCAUCUUCUUUAUGAUCUGCUUUUCCAGCUUUUUCAGGACAGCACGAAGUGUAAAUUGUGAUAUCAGAAACCCAGUUUAAGGAGCUCAGUUGCAUGGGGUUCUCUUGCUGCAAAUAUAAGGUUAUUUACGUUUAAGCAUUAAUUCCUGGUUUUCUUGCUGGCUUUAGUGUGAGCUUGAGUUUCUUCAAGGAGUUGUUUUGACAGCAUGUGGAUUGGGAUGAACAGGAAGUUCUUGCAAGUGUCUUCAGUUUGAGGUGUUCAAAAUUUUUUCUUGACAACAGGAAUGUGGGUUGGAUACCCCUUAGGCUCUAAGUGUCCUGCGAUAUUCUUCUGCCUUCUCCAAACAGCACAGCAGCCAGACAGACACAACCUUCUCCAAACCGCAGCCAUCGUUCGAGUCUCCAACACCAAUGCCUCCACAGGGUAUGUCUCGUCUCAUAUCCUCUUUCUUGUUCUUCCUUCUUCGCACUUCUCCUGAUCUCCUUCUUCUUCUCCGCCCUUCUUCAGUUCUUCUCCAGUUUCCUCCCUUCCUUUCCUCUCAUUAUUCUUCUCUCCACAUCAUUGUAUGUCUCCACUCUCCAGCCAAUCUCCAAACAUAAUGGGUGCUGUUGUUAUGAAUCUUGUGAUAAAUCAUGAAUUUCAAUGUUUGUUUAGAAAUUUAUUAUAAUGGGUUUUGUUGAUUUAUGAUUUGUUGUUCAUUUAUUUAUGAGAAUAUUUGUUUAUUUAUUAAGAACAACACUGAAUGUAUCAUGAGUGUUAUUGAUUUUAAAUUGCUACUUAUUCAUAAUUUAUUUUAGUGGCAUUGAUGAUGUUGAAGUUAGUCAACUAUGUGAAUAUUUAUAUUAUAUAUAUUUAUAUGUAUAUAUUUAAAAUAUCUAAAAAUUUUAGCUUCUUGUCGCCCUUUUAAAAAAGUCAUCUCGCUUCUUGCCUCUCUCCUAGGGUGAUAGGAGAUCUUGUUGCCUUAGUGUUGCCUCUAGCCCAAACUACAAAGAUCAACACUGCCAGAGUUUUAAUACAGUGAUGUUGUGACCAUAAUCCUGUAAUUUAUUUUGCUUUAUUGUUGGUUGCAUUGUGCAUCCAAUUUUAAGUUCUUAAUCAAGAGUUGCAUAUGUCUCCAGGUUCCCCACACAAUUUGAUCUCGUUAUUGUUUGGCUUGUUAUUUGUGAUGGAGCAUCUUUAGACGGUCUACAUACUGUGUCAACCAACUUCAGCUGUUAACAUGGGUUUGCAAGUCUCAUCCUUUUCUCUCUUUGGUCCGUUCCCACUGUUAUGCAGUUCCCGCAUGUUCUGAAAUAACAAGCGUUUCCUAUAUUUCUGGUGGUUUGCUGACUGGGUGGCAUAUGGGUUGGAAUAUAAGUGCAAGUCUUGUCCUCUUCUUUGGUCCAUGUCCAGGUUUAGCUGCUGCAAUUGGAAACUAGAGAUGUGAAGAGAAUCCUGAUUUAACUUUUUGGUUCAUGCUCCUACUCUCAAUCUGUAUUGUAUUGCGAUUUUAAGUCUGCAUGAACCGGUUUCCUUCUCUGAGCUUGCUUCCCUCUCUCUGCAUGCGUCUGCAUUGAUGAUAAGCAAUUGAGGGUGUCUGUCCCCUUCUCACAUUCACAUUUCUUUUACUGUAAUGGAAUAGAAGCUGAAAGUUGUAAUUGCUUCUCAGCUAUGAUCUUGUUCCUUCAGUGAUGUUCAGUGAGGGAUAAGGCACAAUUAGGCUUCAAGAAGGUGGGUGUAUUUUCUGGUUUUGCACUAGUGUAUUGGUGUUUUCUCACGUGUAGUUAGCUGGUUUCAAGAUGUUGGGAAGGAGAACAGAUGUCUUUUGAUGUGUUGUUCUGUUGCUGCAUCUGUAUUUUCUGGUUGUGGACUAGUGGUGUUGGUCUUUUCUGUGCCACGAGUGCUGAUGAUUUUGCGUAUUUGUUUUUUUUCCCGAGUUCUUUUUCUUCCUUUAGUGGUCUUCAUUUGUAUGGUUUUUAAUGCAUGCAACUCCGCCUGUGUUAUCUAGUGCACAGCCGGUCUCAAGCCCGGAUAAAGGAGGAGAGGCUGCAAAUUGUUUGAACUGAUGCUUGGUAGGUGAUAGUCAUUGCCUGACGCUUUGAUUUGGGAGCUUUCAGCUAACUCAUCUGUUACUUCUGAUGAUGAUGCAUUGCCUUUAUUUAAAUUCACAGACUUCUUUAGAAUCAAAGAUUUUAUAAGAAUUCACCUAUUAAAUUCGUCUUUGGAAUGAAAGGAUGUCUUUUUAACCUGAAAAAUCUGAGCACAGUGUACUUUGCAAAGCCAUUGCCCUCAGCAACCUGAAUGCCUAUUUUAACUCCCCAGACCGUUAAUAGCUCCCUUGCUGCAUUCUUUAUAGCGACUGCAAUGAACUGUUGCCCUCUGCAAACAACGUAAAGAUGCAUAUCAAGGGACCCAGCUAGGGUUGAUGCUAGGGUGUAUCUUGUGUAGUUACUCGAAGCACAUGUGCAAGAGACAGCACGAAGCACAUGCACAUGCACAAGAAACCUAAUAAGCUUCGAUGUGAAUACUGCAGGCGUUCUUGAUCAAUAAUCUCUUCUUAACUCGUUUAAUUUUUAAAUCAAUUUUACCUUAAAUUUAAUAAUAUAUAUUUAAAUCCAGUUUAUUAGAGUGCAAUCAGCCCAAAUACUCAAAUAUUUCAUGGGUUGCCAGGGAUGUGUUAUAGAAUCAAACAGCUGUGAGAUAGUGGCAAAAAUACAUAAUCUUGUUAGUUGAUUACCAGAUUAAUAGAGUUAGUAUUAUAUCAACAACAACUACAUUUAUUUAGAUUUGAGGUUUAGGAAUCCACCCCGGAUGUGGAUUAGGUAGCCAAAACCUUUAUUCAUGGCAACAGAUGUAUUAAACUGAUCCUUUUAACAAAUGAGAAGCACAGCCCAAUAUCAAAACCAAAAGCAUACUACUUGAAACAUAUUUCAUCUCUGCAUGAUGCUUUGUCGGAUUAUAUUCAUCACUGCAGUUUCAGUAUCCAUCCUGCUGGUGAUUCUCUUAUCGGUAUUUUCUCCAUUACCUCGCAAGGCUUCAUCAAAGGAUCUCUCCAGGCCCUGGGUGGCACUCUCACUCUACAUUCAGCAACCUCACAUCUCAAGCACUAACGUGCAGCAGCCAGCUGCAUGGCCAGAUUCUGGAGCGUUUAUCUUCCAUCGCACUCUCACAGAAGGACCUGAGAACACUUCCAGGGUUGUUGGGAAGGCCCAGGGUUUCAUUAUUCCGAUUGAAAAUUUUGCACGUUCUGGUUUCAAUAUUAUUCAUCUCUCAUUCGAUACACCUGAGUACUCCGGCAGCCUGAAUGUUCAGGCCAGGCAUGUUGCACAAAGAGAUAGAGAAGAACUUACGGUGGUUGGUGGGACUGGUUCCUUCGCGUUUGCUCGUGGGCUUGCUGUUUUUGCUCGGAGGGAUGAUCUUCCGGCAACUUACUAUGUAAAGCUUCAGCUCAGAUUUCCAAAUCGAUCUCAAAUAAUUCCAGGAUGAGGUUGAGUUGUUUGUCCAUGCUUGUGAAGGUUUUCUUCUUGAGAUUGCAAAGUCCAGUUCUGAAAAGAUUUAUCGAGUCAAAUUUAGAUGAAAACGAAGGAUUAUAUAUAUGCAAGUUUAAUUAAUUGACCUUUUAAUCUUUACAAGAAAUUAAAGCCAUGUAUUUUAACAUCAAAUAUUUUUUAUGAUGUGUGCCUUGAUUUUCUCUAUUUGUGAAUAUACGUGGUGAAAUGAUCCGAAAAUAUCCGGAAACUGGACCGUUAUCCGCACUAGUUUCAGACUUCAGAUAUACUUUUUUUGUAAAUAAUAAAAUUUUAAUUUUAUAUAACCUAUUUUAUAAUUUUAUAUAAAAAUAUAAUAAAAAUAGAAUUUAAGUAUAUGAAUAAUAGUUUUAUAGUUUUUUAAUUUUAAAUAGGAAAUUUAAUUAAUUUUUAAUUAAAUUAAUUUUAUUAUACUAAUUUUAAAUUAUUAUGAGUAAUUUUAAUAAUUUAAUUAUUUUAUUAGAUAUAUAUAUAAUUUUUGUUAAUUUUAUUUUAAUAGAUAAAAUAAUUUAAAAUAAUUAAUAUUACUUAUUAUUUAAUAACUUUAUAAUUAAUGUAUUUAAUAAAAUUAUAAUUCAUUUUAAAAUUUAAAUAAAAUUAUAAAUAAUUAAAAAAUUAAGAAUAUGGAGAUAGAAUAAUUAUUAAAUUAUCAAUUCAUCUUUUUUUUAAUUAUCUAUAUAAAAGAAAAUCUUAUCAAUUAAUUAAAUUUGAAUACAUAAAUUAAUAUAAAAAUUAAGAAUUUAGUAUUUUUAAAAUACUUUUUCAUAUUAUUUAAUAUUUACAUGUGCCAUUCUAAUAAUUCUUGUCUUAAUAUUAUUUAAAUUUUUAUGAACCAUAAAUAAUAAAAUUUAUAUUAAUUCAUAAUUAAAAUUACUUUUAUUGUAAUAAUUUUAAAUUAUUAUGGUAAUUUUAACAAUUUCAUUUUUUUAUCUUCGGGUUUUUAAAUAUAAUUUUAUUAAUUUUAUUUUAAUUAUAAUAGUUUGAAUUAAUUAAUAUUAUUUAUUAGAUUUAGGUAGUAAAAUAAUUUUAAAUUAGAAUUAUUAUUAUUAAAAUAAUAUUAACUUUUUAUUUAAUAAUAUAUAAUAAUAUUAAUAAUUGAAUUUAUCUCACAAUCUUUACAUAUUUUAAAAUUUAAGAUUUUUAGAUAAUUUUAUAAUUAAUUUAUUUGAUAAAAUUAUAAUCCAUUUUAAAAUUUAAAUAUAAUUAUGAAUAAUUAAAAAAUCAAGAUUAAUGAACUUAGAUAACUCUUCAAUUAUCAGUUCAUUUUAUAAAAUUGUGAAGAUUUUAUUUUUGAUCCUUAUAAAUUAAUAGAAUUAAAAAUUAUUAUUUUAAGAUUUAUUUUUUAUAUUAUUUACUAUUUAAAUAUAUUAUUCCAAUAUUUCGUAUCUUAAAAUUUAAUAUUGUUAUAAUUAUACAUAUCUCUAAAUUUGAUAUUUUUUAAACUAACUAUAAAAUUUAUUUAAAUAAUAAAAUAUAUCAAUGAAUUUAAUAUUUAAAUAAAAUUAUAAAUAAUUAAAAAGUAUUAUUAUAUUUUUAACAAUAUUAUUCUUUUUUCUCUUCAUAUCAUAGAUUACAAAAUUAUAUUUUAUUUAAGAAUUAUUAAAUUAAAAUUUAAUUUUAAAAAUAUUAUAAAAUUACUUAAUUUAAUAAUAAAGGUUUUUUUUUUGGAUUUUAGUUUUUUGUUUAACACGGAAUUAGGUUACAUAAAUUUAAUAUUUUAUUUUUAAAACUUAUACAAACACACUAAAUAAUUUAAAUAAUAAUAAAAAUUAAAAUAAUUUAACAAUAAUUAAAUUUACUGUUUUAUUGUAAUAAUAUAAAUUUUUUAAUGGAGAUUAAAUUUUUUAAAAAACGUGAAUUUCUUUUUUAUUUUUUAAAUUAAUAAUUUUUCAAAUUAGAAGCAUAAAAUAUUUUUUUUUUGGAAAAGAUCUAAUAAUUUUAGCCAUUUUUUAUAAAUUUUAUUUUAAAUUAUAUAACAAUUUUUUUUAAAAUUAAUUUAAAUAUAAAUAGGACAAGUACUUUAAAUUUAUAUAAAUUUUAAAAUUAUAUAACUAAUUAAAAUUAAAUUAUAAAUAAAAUGUAAUUUAAAUUUAAAUAAAAAUCAAUAUUCAAAUAAAUUAAAAUUUUAAAAUAAUAAAAAAGUUAUAUUAUUUCUUAAGCAAUCAAAACAGAGAUCAAUUAGUAAUUAUUAAAUUUAAAUAAGAAUGAUUUAGAAAUUUUUUUAUUAUUUUUCUCCUCACUUUUAUAUAUAAUAUAGAUUAUUAAUUAAAUAAUAUUAUUAUUAAAAAAUAAUUUUAAAAUAAAAAGAAAUGAAUUAAUUAUAAAAUAAAAUAAAAUACAAUAUAUAUUAUAUAUAAGAAAACUCAGGCUAUUAAAAAAAUUAUUCUAUACUAAUUUUAUUCAACAACUAAUAUAUAAUAUAAUUAAGAAAACUUUUAUAAAUUAUAGUUUUGAUAUUCUCUAAAUUUUAUCAGAGAAUAAGUCCAUUAAUAAUUUUAUCGUGGAAUAUCAUUUCAGAACUUAACUUGUGAAUUGCCAUUUUCAUCCUUUUCCUCGUGUCAUUAAUAACUGUAAUCUUUUAGCAGACUUAUAUAGAGUAAUGAAUAUUUUAUAUUUUUAUUUUAUAGUAAUAUAUUAAAAAUUAAUAUAAAAUUAAAUUAAUUAAUUUUUAAUUUAUUAUUUAUAUAUUAUAAACCAAUUUAUAACAAUAAAAAAUAAUUCAAAGUUACAUAUUUGAUGAUUUAAAUAAUAAAUAUUUUUAUUGAUUUUAUAGCCAUACACGCCUUCUUUCUUUUUAAUAUUGCAAUGAUAUAAACUCUUUUUGUAUUCAUAAUCUUUUCUCAUAUCUCAAAUAAUUCUUGAUAUUGUAACCAUAUAUAACUCUUUCUUCUUAUAGCGAUUCAUAAUUUUUUCGAAUAUCUCGCCACUUUAAAAUAAAUUUAUCAUUAUAAUUCAUCUAAUAUAUACAAAUAACGAUAAAGUUAAUGUAAUUUUAAAAUUGAGUUAUUUUAAUUUAAAUAUAAAAUUAAUAUAAUUUAUAAAUUAUAAAGAUUACAAUUAAUACCAUUUCAAAAAAAAUUACGAAUAAUAAAUGUAUCAUAUUUUAUUAUUAAAUUUUAGUUAAAAAUUAAUUAAAUUAAAAAACGAAAUAAUAGUAAAUUUAUUUUUAAUUUUAAUUGAAUUUAACUUUUUAUUUUAAAUUAUACUUAAAAAAUAUUAAUUUAUUGUUUUAAUAAUUAUCCAAUAUUUUAAUAAUCUUAAUUUUAAAACUAAUCUAAUUGUAUUUUCAUUAAUUUAAGUAUUUCUUUUAAUUUUUUUUAGCAAAUUUCAAAAUUCAUUUACAAAAAUUAAAAUUGAAAGAUUUUGUCAUAAUUUACAAUUACAUUUAAAUAAAAAUUAAUUAUAUUAAAAUAUUAAUAAUAGUAAAACUUUUUUUUUAUUUUUUAAUUAAUCAUAAUAAAAUUAAUUGUCAAAUUUAUCAUAAAAAUUUCCUUUUACGAUUAAUAAUAAAUUCAAAUGAAGAAUAAUAUAUUUAAUUAAAAUUUUUUAAAUAUUAAUAAAUUUAUAUAUCUUAUUAUUUUCUUAACUAAUUUCUAAAAUUAAUUUAACAAAUAAAAAAAAAUCUUCAUUCCAAUAUAUAGUAUAUAUAAACUAUAAAAAUUAAAAGAAUUAGAGAUAUAUAAGUGAAAUCAUUUUUAAAUUAUACUUUUUAUUUUAAUUUUUUUAUUUCAUUAAUAUUUUUAAUAUUCAUUAAUUUAAUUUAAUUUUUUACUUUAAAAACAUACAUUUAUUAUUUUAAUAAUAUUCUUAAUAUUUAUCUUGACCCAAGGAGCUCUCCCAAGUCCAACUGGCUGGAUGGCCCAAUUGGCCAUCAUCAAGAGCUGUAGAAGGCUGAAAAUUGGCUGGUGAACGGGUUGAGUUGCCAAAAUCGAAUGUGGGUUGCCUUAUUCGGAUUGGCUAGUAGGCAUGUGGACGGAUUGGCUGGCAAGAUGGAAGGCCUGCCAGGCGGAACUGAUAGGCGGAAGAAAUUUGCUGGGCAAAAUCAGCUAGCAGUAGCUAGCCUGGCAAUAGGCAGCUCAGAUGCCCCAUAGGCCUACCAAGGAAAGCAAGGAGUUCCGUCGGCCAACCACGAAUGCGCUGGGGAGCCUCGUAGGCCAACCACGAACAAGCUCGAAAAUGCAGUAGGCCUAUCAAGGAGGAGUCGGAUGUCCCGUAAGGAGGAACUUAGAUGUUUGGCGGAAUUGAUUGCUGCAGGAAGGCACAAUCCACGGAGAUGGCUUGGGCAGCAGGAUUGUUGGGCCGUGGAACCUCGGCAAGACAGGCAGACGUCCUCGAUUGACCAACGGGUUUGAUAGCGCUAGACUCCAUGGCCGGCCAGCGAACUUGGCAAGAUUGGAAGCCCACAGGCCUAUGAUCUCGCUGAACGCCCAAAACACGGGGGAAAGGCGCGCAGGCCAUGCCUCAGCACUCCCCAGACCCCUGGUAGGCCAACCAGGAGAAGAUGGGUGAAAAUUAGAGAGUUCUCCGGAAAAUUCUAGAACCAACUGGAUGAGUCUAGGCAACACCCCAAUUCCAAGGCAGAUUGAACAAAUGGCAGUCUCUGAUUGGUCCAAAUAAUUCAAUGGCUAAGAUAUGUACACAGGUUGUUUUAAUAAUUUUUAUUUUAAAAUUAAUUUAGUGGAAUUUCAAGUAAUUUAGAUUUUUUCUUUAGAUUUUCUUAAUAAACUCUAAAAUCAAUUUAAAAUAAUAAAAUUAUAAUCUCAUGUAUAUCUUUAUUUAAAAAAUUUGAUGUUAUUGUAUUUUUAUAUAUCUUUUAAGAUUUCCUUAAUAUUUUUAUAUAUCUUUUAAGAUUUCCUUAACUAACUAAAUUUCAUUUAAAAAAUAUAAAAUUAUCAUUUAUUUUAAAUAAUAAGAUUAUUAACUACUUAAGUAAUUAAAUUAAAUAAUUUCUAAAUAACUUAAAAGUUAAAAACAUUAUAAAAAAUCUCAUUAUUUCCAAAUUUUCACUUUUAUAAAUUGAAAAUCAGAAAAGAAAAAUCUCAUUAUCUUCCAAUUAUACUGUUGGAUUAGUAAAUUCUUUUGAAAAUUAAUUAAUUUUAUUUUUUAAUGCAUAAAAAAAUUACUAUAAAAAAAUGUAAUAUUUAAUUUGAAACUAAUAAAAUAAAAAACCAAAGUAUAUUUAUAAGAUAGAGAGUAAUUUUUUUAUAUUUUUAAACAAAAAGAAAAUUCGAAUUUUGAAUUCAAUUUGUUAUAGUAUUAAGCAUAAUCUCAAAUACUGGAAUUUGAAGUAAUCUCGAAGUCCUAUUGAUUGGCAUUCAUCGGCAAACUUCAACUAUGUUUUAAGUUUAAAUACUUAAACCCUCUUCUCAUAUUCUUUGCUUAACCUAAGCAUCGACAAUCUCCAUUGGUGCCUUUCAGUUUAAAGGUUUCGGCUGGAUUUCCAAUUUUCUGGGAUUUACUAGCCAUGGACAAUCCAUUGGAAUAUUACGGUGAUGAUUCAAGUGAUCCUGAUGAAAAUGUGAAUUCUGAUUACGAAUAUGAUGAUGAUGCAAUUCUCUUGGCUGAGAAAGACGAUGAUUCCAACAAGGAUUUCAAGCCACAAAACUGUAGGGUCCUGAAGCUAGAAGAUGUUCGCCAACGCAUGGAGGAAGAUAUCGCUAACGUUUCCAGCGUCCUUUCUAUAUCAAAAGCUGAGGCAAGUAUAUUACUUCGCUACUUUCAUUGGUCUGUCAGCAAAGUUAAUGAUGUUUGGUUUGUUGAUGAGUCUGAAAUCCGUAAAAAACUUGGCUUGUUCGGGAAACCAGAAGUGGUUCAUCAUGAUGAUAGUGUAAUUAUAAUAUGUGGGAUCUGUUUUGAAUACUUUUCAUAUGAUGGGUUAUGUUCAGCUGCAUGUGGUCACCUUUAUUGUAAAGAAUGCUGGGCUAGUUACAUUACUACAUCGAUCAAUAAUGAUAACCUUAGGUGUUUGUCUCUAAGGUGUCCUGAACCGUCGUGUAAGGCGGUGGUGGAUCAGGACAUGGUUGACUCAUUAGUGUCGGAGGAAGACAGGAAGAAGUAUUCUGAGUUCAUGGUUAAGUCUUGCGUUGAAGAGAGCAGGAAUACAAAAUGGUGCCCUGGCCCAGGAUGUGAGUAUGUGAUUGAGUUCAUCGCUGGGGAAGGAAGCUUUGAUGUGACUUGCAUUUGUUUGGCGAGCUUUUGCUGGAACUGCGGCGAGGAAGGUCACCGUCCCUUAGAUUGCGAGACUGUUAAGCUUUGGCUUUCAAAGAACAUGUCGGAAUCUGAGAAUGUCAAUUACAUAUUAUCUUAUUGCAAGCCUUGUCCGAACUGUAAGAGACCCAUAGAAAAAAACCAGGGGUGUUCAAACAUGACGUGCAGGAUCUGUGGUCACAAUUUUUGCUGGACGUGCCUUUGUCCAAAUGGCUAUCAUCUUGCUUGUAACAUAUACAAAGCUUCGGAUACAGAAGCCUCGAGAAAAAUGAUGGGACAGAAAACUAUGCAGAAAUAUAUGCAUUAUUUUGAACGUUGGGAUGCUAAUAAAAGAUCCAAAGCAAAGGCUAUUGCAGGUUUCGGAAAUAUGAAGAAUGAGCAAUUCAAGCGGCUGAGUAAGAAACUGAAGAUUUCAGACGCAGAUUUCGAUUUUUUAUCUAAAGCCUGGCUGCAGAUAAUUGAAUGUAGAGGAAUUCUGGGGUGGAGUUUUGUGUAUGGAUACAAUUUGCCUGACAAUGAGCCUGCAAAGAAGCAGUUUUUUGGCUACUUGCAAGGGGAAGCAGAAUCUACACUGGAGAAGCUUCAUCACUGUGUGGAAAUUGAGAUACUGUCGUUUCUCAAUGUUAAUAAUCCAUUAGAGAAUUUCGAUGAUUACAGAAAUAAGUUAAUUAAACUGACUUUUGUGACAGGAAAUUACUUUGAGAAGCUGGUUAAAGCAUUAGAAAAUGAUCUACCUGGAGUCCAUGAGUCUAGCAGCGGCGGCAGCAGCAGCAGCAGCAGCUCUAAGUAUCAAUCAGAAGAUGAAUAUUGGAUUUGUGCUAGAUGUUCCCAUGCCAAUCCCUACUCUGUCAACAAAUGCAAAGGGUGUCCGGCUGAUGCUAAUCUUGCAAGGAUUAAUUUGGACUAUUUUCUUUUUAUGGUAAACAACAGAACAGAUUAUCAUUUUUAUCCACGUUAGCAACAGUUCUUUUUUACUGCUUUAUUUAUUUACUUGCUAGAUAACCAGGACUGAACCUCGCUGGUGCAUGGCUUUUUGUGUUUCUCAGUUUAAUAUUUUCUAUUCAGGGUUUAUUUAUUUAUUUAUUUACAUUGUUCCAUGAGUUCAAAUUAUCUCAAGAACAGAUGCAUGUGAUUCAUAUCAAGAAGGAAAUAUAUAUAUAUAGAUAUAUAUAUAUAUAUUAUGUUUCUUUGUUGCUGAAGUGAAACUUGCACAAAUAAAAACUGCAAAAUCCUUACAGGCUUAAAGCCCUGAAGAAUUCCUCUACCUAAACCUUCAUAUCAGGAAACCUAAGCUGAUGUUUAUGUGGCAACUUCUUCUCAUACAGAUUUUUUUUUUAUUUGUAUUGUGUAAGUAGUAUUCAGUAGAAUAUACAAAAGAAUGUAAUGACUAACAAAAAGAAUAAGGUAUGGUUCCUUCUUGGCCGUCAUUUGUGCCAAAUAUAUGUGUUAUUUCUCGGCUACCUGCUGUCUUCUUCGGCAACAACACCAUCGGAAAGUUUUGAGAGAAUGAAUAUACAAGCUGAGGAAACCAGCACAGCUCCAGCAAAACAAGCAAGAUCCAAACUGGUGACCAUAGGUAUUUUCUUGAAUUUUUCCAACAAUCCCACUUGAAGUAUCAUCAUGACUGCAUGCCCAAUUCUGGACUUGGCUUGGGCAACCGUCUCCAUUUGCACCCAUGUUGGAAGAGACUGAAACAGACACAAUAAUCAUCAGAAACCUUAGUAUCUAUACAACGUCAGGGAAAACAAAAGGAAAACAGGAUCAUGUCAUGUGUGCAAAUUUGAAAGAAAGGCUCACCUUCAAAUGGUAGAGGCCAAAAAGAUUUGAUCCUGGGAGCAGUUGCCCAUUUUCUUUCAAAUUCUUUGGUUCCACAAAGAUUACAUAUAACCCCACUCCAAACAUAAACAUGGCUGUUCCUACCAAGAACAUGUCUGCAUAACAGAAGGAACACAACUGUUCAGUAAACUGAAUUAGAAUCCCUUUGUUGUUACGCUUCAUUUUGCAAAUGAAAAUUUUUUAAAUUCUUUCGUUCCAAUCAAAGAGAAUGAUUAUAAAAGAAAUCAAUUGAAUUAAAUUCUUGCAGAAUUCUUAAUACUAAACAGAGAAUUAGAAGAAAACGCUGAAGCAUACAAGGCAGAUGUAUAUACCAAUGGCUUCUAUAAGUAGCUGCACGAUUUGUCCUCCCUCUGAACUGUGAGAUAACAUGCUAAAAUAGUUGAAGUAUGCCUCUAGAAUGAGAAAGCAACCCUGCAAAAUUUGAUGUUAAAUAUGUAUCUGUCAGUGUCCAACACAAGGCAGAGUUUCAAGAAAACAAAAUUAAUUUUUUUAAAAAAUACAAGCUUCUCUCUGUUUUUUUUUUUGUUUUUUUUCCAGUCUGUUUUUUUAAAAUAAUUAAUGAUAAAAAUAAUAGAUUACCUCCACAAAACACAAUACUGAACUAAGCAAUGCUCCUGCUGUGGCAAAUAAAGUAAAGAACCGACAAUCAAUUAUGGCCUGCACAAGGAAAAUUAUAUGAUAAUUAAUUAGAAAUCCACAUUGACUAUAAAGAUUUUUAAUAAAUAAAUAAAUAAAAAUAGCUAAAAAUUACAACACUAGACUAAAAAUUGCAGUUCCAGGAAUCUGAAUUUCAUUUCCAGUAGAGCUCUUUGGAUUUGAUUUCCACGGGGAUAUAAUAAUGAAUAAUAAACAAUCACAAUGAAAAAGAACGAACCUUUUCAAUGAGCGACUGGACCUGUAUUUUCCACGGCUUACGUUUAACAGCAGGCCUCAAAACCUUAAACAAAGCAUUACCAACAGUUGCAACCAAAGAAGCCAAAUCUAAUAUUCCCUCAUCAGCCCGUGAGUCUGUAGUGAUACAGCUCUCGCUAAUAGCAACGGAUGCUUUCACAACCGCCGCCGUUGAUUUCCUUUUAUCACCAUCACUUGAAACCAUCUUCUGAUCUCCACCCAACCCAGCAGCAGUAUUCUUAGCGAUGCAUUUCAACGAGGCAGAAGAUGAAGAAGUUGAACCAGGAGGAUGAACAUGAGGAAGAGGCCUAGACGAACGCAGGAGUCUUGUGGUCGCCAUUACUUUUAGUUUUCUUGAUUUUCGGCAGUUGGCCUGUGGAGGUUUUGGGAGUCGAAGUUCUAUGCUUUUGAAGUUUUAGCCAGUUGUUGCGUGGCCUAUAGUGCUUCUUAUAGUGACAGUGAGAAGGAGAGAAGAUUCGAAGCAUAUUAGCCGGAGGGAGUUUUGAGUUUUCCGCGAGAGUUUGGUGUUUGAAAUUUUGACCUUACGUGAUGAUUUUCCAGUUUCCACCAACGUGUGGGGCCAUAAGAGUUGUAAGCCUACCACGUGGCAAAUGGGUAUCUUUUGGAGGACUUUUACUGGGAGUUUUUCUAUCGUCGGCUUGGAAGACUGUUUUGUUGGGUUCCGUUGUUCGGCAGGUGGGUGGAAGAAGGAAGAUUCUCGUCGUGAUUCACAAGUUGGUUCUUCUUCCAGGCCUCGCCGCCUCCGCAAGCAACGGCUAUUAUGGAACUUGGUACAAUUCCUUAUUCCCAUUGGGAAUGGUUUUGGCUUUGGACUUGCCCGCAAUACACUCAUGUGAUUAAUUUACGACCCAAACUUAAAUUUACGGUCCCAAAACAUGCACGCGGUGAUCCAGCUAGCAGCUAAGGUUGACAUAAAAGGACACCAUCAUUGUCUCUGUGAUCAAAUUUAGUUUCUAUUCAUGUUAAUACUACUUUUUUUUCCAUAACUUUUAUUUAUAUUUUUAUUCUUUAUCAUUUUAAAAUUAUUAUAAUUUUUAUUUAUUUAAUUUUUUCAUACAUAUUAAAAAUUUAAUUUUUUAUUUUUUAAUUAUAUUUAUUUUAAAAAUAUUAAAUUUAUAUUAAAUACUAAAAAAUAUUUUGAAAACUUUUUUAAAAAUAAAAUAAUUAAAAUUAUAAUAGUAAAUUUAUAUAUUAUUAUAAUAUAAAAUAAUUAAAUAAUAAUUUUAGAAUAACUAAAAAAGAUAAAUAAAAAUUAAAAAACAGAAAAUAUAUAUAAAUUAAUUAUUAUAACAGUAUUUUAUUUUAUUUUAUUUUUAAAAUAAUAUCUUAUUAAUUAUUUUUUAAAUGAGUAUUAAAAUAUUUUUUUAAUAUUUUUAAAGUGAAUGUAAUUAGAAAAUUAAUAAAAAAAAUAUUUUUCUAUUAUAUUGAUGCAGUUGUUUUAAUAAAAUUGAUUGGAUUUGAUUUUCUUUUAAUUUAAUAAUUUGAUGUUUAAUUUUUCAAUGAAGCAAUAAACUACAUGUAAAAUGCAAGCAUUCAGUAACAAGUCCCUCCAAAGUUUUUUUAUACCAAAAAAUAGGGAAAGGAUAUUCCUUUUAGAUACAUUUUUUAAAAAAUUAAUUAGUGGUUUUUUAUGAUUUGACCAUAGGAAUUUUUGUUUCAAUGAAAUUGUAAUUUUUUUUAAAAAUAAAUUUUAUAUAAACUUCUUAAAAUAUUAUGCUAGUUUUAAUUCAUAAAUUGAAAAGUUAAAAAUUCUUUUUAUUUAAAUUAAUUUGCAAACAUCCCAAAAAAUUUUCUCUCUUAAACAAUAAUAAAUUAUGAAAAUUUAAAAAUACUAAACAACCUUACUUCAAAAUGACAAACCGAGUGCAAGAUGCGACAAUGGACACACGGUCGUGGGAUAAAGCAAAGCAAAACAAAUCAAUAGCCAGAUCGAGGGUCCAAAGCUUAGCUGGGGUCCCCUUCUCUCCUGCUUCUCAUUUAUCACGUGGGUUUGAUCGUUGGAUUUAGGCCUUAUUUGUUCAAAUCUUUUAAUUUUUAAAAAAUUACUAUUAAAAAAAUAAGAUAAAUAAGUUACUUUCUUUUUAUUCAAAAAAAUAAUUUUUUUUAAUUUUUAAAAAUUUUAAAAAUAAAAAAUAAUCAAACAAAAAAUAUAUUAAUUUAUUGAAAAUUUGAAAUUUCUUGAUAAACUUAAUCCCAACUAAACAAGAUUUUAUAAUAAGAAUUCAUCAUCUAUUAUAUGUACGAUGGAUUAGAUUGAAUGGAAUUGGGAGAAAGAAACAAAAAAGAAAGAAAUAUACAGAACUAAACUUGCGUUUUGUUGGUAAAAAGAAAAAAUAUAUAAAUUAUAUAUUUUUUAACAAUUAAAAUGCUCAAAAGAAUUAAUAAAAAAGUAAAUUAUUUUCAAAGAUUCUAUUCACCACUAUGUAAUAUCCUAUAUUUUUUAAAUCAUAACUAAAAGAAUAAAUUAUUUUAUUGGUUUUUUAUGAACAAUAUUUUUAAAUACAAAGAAAAAAUAAUAUAGAGAAAAUAACUCGAAAUACAAGCUUGAAAAAAUUAUAUGCAGUGUGAAUAAGUAAAAAAGGAUAGAAGACUCGGGAAAUUUUAUACAAUAAACUUGGAGUGCUGGUGAUAUGGUAAAGUUGCUACUUCCCAAUAUUAAUUUAAAUUAAAACAUGUCAAAAAGUGUAAGCGGUCCCUAAUUGUUCUUUUUUAAAUUAAUUCAUUCAACACAUUUAAUAAUAAUUAAAUAAUAAAAAAAUCCUUACAGCAUAAAUAAAAUAAGCUGAAGUGAAAUAUUUAUAUCUUAUUCAAAGAGAAAAUAUUUUUUCUGAGUUUUGAAUUUUUAUUUAGGACGAAUUUUCAUUUUCUACUAUAGAGAUUGGCUUUUCUUACCCCUUAUCGUAGGGGAAGCGGUUGCUUCUCCUACUCAAUGUUAGAUACUCUAUCCACCAUUGAGAGAUUUGACUUUCUUUUAUGGUUGUAUAUUACAGGAUUGAAGUAUGACAUUUGGAUAGGUGAUAUGAAUUAUUCUUCUAACAUUUCAUGUGAUUUGACUUUCUUUUGUGGUUGUAUAUUACAGGAUUGAAAUAUGACAUCUGAAUAAAUAAUAUGAAUCAUUUUCCUUAGCUUCUGAUGUUUAAUGGUGAAAUCAUUUCCGAAAUGCUCACGAUAACUAUUUUUGGGUUGAUCCGGUCUCUCACGAGCUCUAUCUCGCCAUUACAUGCAAGUUUAUCGUUUUGAUCUCUCAAUGAUCUCUCUUGCCUCUUACAAAACUAUAGAUCCUUAAGCUUAACUAGUCCUUAAAUUCUUGGAGGAUAGCCUCUCCUUCUCAACUCUUUUAGAGUUUUUACAAAUAGCAAAAGUCCUUCCGUUUUUCAUAUAUUGCUUUUUUUUUAAAAAAAUCUCGCCUUACUUGAUUCAAUUUUUGCAUAGGAAAAAAAAAAAAGUCUCAGCUUACUUGAUUGUUUUUUGCAUAUGAAAAAAAAAGUUUUGCCUUGAUUGUUUUUAGCAUAUGAAAAAAAAAAAGUCUCGGCUUACAUGAUUGUUUUUUGCAUAUGAAAAUCUCCACCGGUGGUGCUCCAUGUUGAAUCUUACUUGAUUGUGCUCCAUGUUGUUUCUUACUUGAUUGUUUUUGGCAUAUGAAAAUUUCCACCGGCAGUGCUCCAUGUUGUUCCUCCUUCAUAAGUCAGUUCCUCUCCUUGUUUCAGGUUUGACUUGGUUGAAUAGGGUUUUAUUGGGCUUUGGCUCAUUUAGUUAAGAUUGAAUUGGUUGAAGAGUUUACUUUCUUUAAGGUUUUUUUUAGCUGUUUUUGGACUUUAAAUAUUGAGCCAAGCCUUCUAUAUUUCAUUUUUUACUUUGGGCCAUCUCUUGAAGGUCUGUGGACUUUAUUGCAUCUCUUUUUACUUCAAUCAAAUUUAUCUUUGACAAAAAAAAGAAUAUAACAUAGAUGAUUUGAUAUAAGUACUGAAUAUUUUUCUAAAAUCAAAAUGUUCUAUUUUUCCUUAUUACAAUUUAAGGGUAAAAUUAAUGAAAAGAUUUUGAAUUUCAAAACAAUUAAAAUUGAAAAACUAAAAUAGCUGAAUUUUCCUAUCCGAGAGACCAAUUCAUAAUUAGUCACAAAGUAAUGACCAAAUGGCAAAUUCCCUAAUUAAUUUCUCUUCUCUGCCUCCACUAACGUCAAGGUCAAAUUCAACCAUUAAAAGAGUUGAUCACUCAAUCACACAAAUAAAAACUAUUUACAAAGCGAUGACAUGAACACCAAGAUUAAAAAGAAACUCAAAAUCAGAGAAUAAAUGAAUAAGACAAAUGGAAUUGCAUUAGGAGAUGAAGUAGAAACAUUUCCCAUUGUUUUUGGCCAGAAUCAAAUUUCCAAAGAGAGAGAAAAAAAAAAUCAACCCAUUAGAUAUUGAAUAUGAAUGCUACUUAAACUUGAUAUUAAACAGAUGCAUGCCAUUUAUCACUUGCCUAAUUUUUCAGGAUACUCCCAGAAUUUCCACAUUCUCAAAUCACUUGAAUCAUCAGAAUUCCAACUAAUAUUUGGCAAAAAUAAGAAAUACAUAGGAGAAGCUUUGAAGUGACAACAUUCUCAAAUCACUGAGAUGUUCUUUGCACAUAGGAAACCUACGCUUGUUGGGAUUGUCAUUUUUGAAGGUCAGAACAAUAAAAGAAAUAUAGAGGCUAAAACUCUUGCUACACAUUGGAAUAAAAGAAAAAAUAAUAACAUCAAAAUCUCAACGAUACAUAAUGAUGAAUCCUACAUCGGUUGUGGAAAGGGGUAAUGUGCCCCUUAUAUGGACUAUAGACACUCCUCCCUCUUGAGCUACCUUUUGGGGUGAGUUAGGCCUGACCCAAAUUUAACAUGGUAUCAAAGCCUCCCCAUCCGAUGCUAGACACCCCAUAAAUGUGUCACGCUCCCACAUCGGUUGUGGAAAGGGUAAUAUGCCCCUUAUAUGGGCUAUAGACACUCCUCCCUCUUGAGCUAACUUUUAGGGUGAACUUUUAGGGUGAUAUAGGCUUGGCCCAAAUUUAACAUGAUAUCAGAGCCUUCCCAUCCGAUGUUGGGCGCCCUAUAAAUGUGCCACGCACCAGUAAAAAUUCUAAGCGUGAGGGGUGUGUUGAUUCCUACAUCGGUUCUGGAAAGGGGUAAUGUGCCCCUUAUAUGGACUACAGGCACUCCUCCUCUUGAGCUAGCUUUUGGGGUGAGUUAGGCCUGGUCCAAAUUUAACACAAAAUAAAGAGCAAAAGCAACACUAGCAAGAAGGAUAAUCAACACAUAUCAGAAGAAAAAUCAAGCAUGAAUCACUAUCAAGUCCAUGUAUUUUAUCAAAAUUAACUAUUUAGUCCUUUUUAAAGAAGGAAAACGAAAACUCAAUUAAAAAGUACAAGUAUUUUGUUUCAACCUUUCUUUUGCCAAAAAAUUGUUAAUCAACUUAUUUUUAGUUAAAUAUUCAAGAUUUUAAUUAUCAAUAUUAUUUAGUUUCUGUAAUUUUACAACUAAGAAGUUAAGUUUGGGGAGACAAAAAAGGAAAAAAAAAAAGACUUUAUGCUAACUCACCCAUUAAUCAAACACUUGCUCAUCUUCAUAAAAAGAGAAUGUGUAGCUGUAGAAGAAGCUUCCUCAUGAAUUUUUAGGCUUUCAAAAUUACAAUCUAACAAGAAAAUUUUCAUGCCUCCUAUUGUGGAUGAGAUGGGUUUGUAGAAUAUCUAAUUUAAUUGAGAAUUAAAGUAGAAGUUUCAAAUUGAUGGUAAUCAUGCAUUCUUCCAUGGAGUGAGAAAGAAAUAGAGGGGGUGAGAGAACAUUCAAUGGGUGUAACAAUAAUGGCCUAUUGCUACGCAGAUUUUCAAAAAAAUUUUGCUGAACUCAUGAAAUGAAAAAAAUAUUUAAAGUGAUGAGUAUAAAUAAGAUAAUCAAAUAUAAGUAUUAAUACAUCAAAUAAGGACAUUCAAUCCAUCAUACAUCUUUAAUAAUAAUUAAUUUAUAGUUAAAAUAAAAAUUUAAAUAAUAUAAAUAUGAAUGAAUAAUUCUUCAUACUCUAAAUUUAAUAAAAAAAAACUUGGCAUUUAACAAAAAGAACUUCACAUUCAACAUUAUUUUUAUUUAUAGAUAGAUAAUUAAUUUUUUAUAAAAAUUUAAGAAAAAGUGAGAUAUAACAAUAUAAAACUUCACAAUCUAAUAAAAAGAAUAUGAGUUAUUUCCCAUAUAGCUUUAAAAAAUAAAUAAAUAAAAAACCAACCAUUAUCAUUAUUUAAUAAUAAAUAACAACCAUUACCAUUUUAUUAAUAGUAAAUAACAUCCAUUACCAUUAUAUUAAUGGCCGUAACAAAAGUUGUAUAAUACAUAUAAAAUUAAGAAUUUAAAUUUAAAAAAAUUACUACUUAACCACAGUGGUAUGGAAAAAUUAAUUAGUUCAUCCCUCAAUUUUGAAGAAAUGCAUUAAAACAUCUCUAACGCUUUAAAAAGUCUACUAGUUAGUUUUUUCGUCAAUUUUAAUUAUUAAAUAUUAAAAAAAAGUCUAAAAUAUCCUUAAAGAGAGUAAUUAGUAAACUUUUUAAAAAUUUGAAAGACUAACUAAUAAAUUUUUCAAAAUCAUAGAUACUAAAUAGUAAAAUAUUUUAUAACAAAAUUAACGAAUUGACUGAGUAAUAAAUUUUUUGCUUUUUAAAAUGUUAGGAUAUUUUAAUAUAUUUUUCAAAAUCAAAUGACUAACUAUUAAAUUUUUCCAAAUAGUAAGUUUUUCUUGAAUUAAUCAUGAGAAAAACAUAAGGGUGCAAUUGAAUUAGGAAUGUCAAAGAUAGAUAACUCAUGAAAGUCACCAUUUCCAAACCAUCCAAAUAGAAUUUGAUGUGAUCAAGCACCGAAAAUAUUCGACCCAUUAUCACUUCUAUAUUAAACUUCGGGUUCCAAGUUCAGGAGUCAAAUUAUGUUUUUUGCUGAUAGUAUUCUAUAUCUAUAGGCCUAACUCCAAACCAUAUAAAUUAGUCAGGCAAAUGCAUGAUGAAAACUUAUUAACACGUAGAUUAGGCAAAAGAAUUGAGCUGUCCCAACUUUUCAUAUGAAAGACAGUGGAAGAAGGUUAAGAAGGGAGGAAUUGCAGUAGAAGAUGAAUUAGAAACAUUUCCAUUGAUGUAGCCAAAACCAAAUUAAGAAGCAAUCCAUUCAAGAGAUGCUGAAUUUGAAUGCUACUUAAAACUCGAUACCAAACAGAUGCAAGCCAUUUAUCACUUGCCUAAUUCUUCAGCACACUACCCAGAAUUUUUUCUCAAAUCACUUGAAUCAAUAGAAAAUUUUCCAACUAAUUGGUUCCACCUCCACUCUCCUGGUACUGAAACAUUAUAAUGUAGCAAAAUGAAAACACACAGAAGAAGCUUUGAAGUAACAGACAACAAGAAGCAUUAAUUCACUAAUUGGAGACCUAUUUGUUAUGGAUCCACCAUUAAAAAAAGAAAAUAAAAGAAAAAAAGUUUUUUUUAUCAGUUCUUUUCCUUUGUCUAUAAACAAAUUCUAAUAGAAAACAUAGAAAUGCGGCUCAAAAGUGCUUGAAACCUUAUCAUGGGCAAAAUGCCUCAGGAAAUAAAAGGUCUUAUUCAUCAUCAUCGCCGCAUUCUUUUCCCUCAAAUCACAAUCAUCAUCUUCGUCAACAGUUAGCAUCAAACAAACAUUCCAAAAAUCUAAAUCUGAGCUUGAGCUUACCUGAAAACAACAGCCUGAAUCUGAACUAUCAGCCACAAAUAGAAGAACCUCUUUCGGGAAGAAGCAGCUUUUACGUCCUCAUCGUCAUCUUCUCACCUUUUAUAGUGCACUAAGCGAAAGUACGAAAUUAUCCUGAGCUUUUCAUUUUAUGUCUCGCCUAUCCCUAGAAGUGAAACUCUUCCUUAUUGCAUCUGGACUAGGGAUGGCAACGGAUCGGAUAUUUUCUGAUAUUCGAUCCGACCGAAUUCUAAUAGAACGAAUUUGGAUAGUUAUAAUCGGGUUUGGAAUGGAUUCGAGUUUUAAAAAUAAUACCCGUUGCAGGUUUGGAUCGGAUUCGGAUUUUAUGUAUAGGUAUCCACUAUCUGAAUCUGUUUAUAUAAAUAAUUAAUUUAAUAUAAAAAAUAUAUUUUAUAAUAAUAUUUAUAAAUUUUUUUUAUAUAUUUAUAUUUAAAAUUUUAAAUUUAAAUAUUCUUUAGAAAUAUUAAAUUUUUUAAAUAAAAAUUAUUAAUGAAAAAUAUUUUUUAUAUAAAUUAUUAAUUAAAAUAUAUAAAAUUAAACGAAUUCAAAUUUUAUUCAGAUAAUAAUAAUUAGAUUUAGAACAGAUUCCAUAAUUUAAAUUAAUUUUUAAUUGAAUUUGAAACGGAUUCAAAUAUUACUAGUAUAAAUUAAAUUCGGAUUGGGAUAGUUUAAUUUUCGUAUUUUACCCUGCCAGUUUACAUCCCUAAUCAGGGCGGUGCGGUCGCGUAUAAGUACUUCCGUGGUGGGCCCUUUUUGCCUUCAACGGUCUUCUCUUGCUCAACUAGAAUCGGACGCUCAUUUUAGUCCUUGGUUUCUCCGGUGGGCGCUGGCCUCAUAAGCUGCCAGAUGAGAGAUACCAUAAAAUCAGAAUCUAUUUGAACGCACUCCAAAAUCGUAUUUGGGAACUGGGCUUGUGUGAUUGAUGGGUUUCUCAUCCAAUUUGCAGGGGUGAGUUAUGAUUUUUGUAGCAGCGACUUCAAGUUUUAGCUACAUUCCACCAUGGCCAAAAAACGGUCGCCGUCCUCAUUCGCGCGAGUUCGUCACAUUAAACAGAGUUUCAAAUCAGAGAGAAUCUGGCUUUUUGUCAAUAACUCAAGAUGAUAGGAGAACGUAAGUUGCUCUUUCUCUGUCACGCAUUUUGACAAACACUACUCCUGCGUUCUAAAUUUCACACGCUAAGCUUGGGGCUUUGCAGGUGCGAGCUUUUUAAUUUGUCCAAGAGGCUAGUGCCAUAUGAUGAUGCAUGGAAUUGGCAAAAGGACAUUGUUAGAGAGAAAAGGACAUUUAUCGAAAGGAAGGAAGAGUCCCCAGAUACGCUAAUCGUUCUACAGCAUCAUCCUGUGUAUACAUUGGGUACGGGCAGCUCUGUAGGAUACCUGAAUUUUGAUGUAGAAGAUGCUCCUUAUGAGGUUUAUCGAACUGAACGAGGCGGAGAAGUCACCUAUCAUGGGCCUGGCCAGGUAUACUCUUCUUCAUUGCUAAGCACUCAUUUUUUCUAUGUCAUCUUUUCAAAUUCUCAAAAUCAAUGGACUAAAGAGAAAUCUUUAUCUUUAUGAUACAAGGGCCUAACUAAGGAUGAAUUUGUAUUACACUGUAGCUAAUUAUGUACCCAAUUAUCAAUCUUCGAAAUCACAAGAUGGAUCUUCAUUGGUACCUCAGGGCACUUGAGGAAGUGGCCAUUCGUGUUCUUUCCUCAACCUUCUCUAUUGAAGCAUCACGCGUUGAUGGUUUAACUGGAGUUUGGGUUGGUAAGUUCCAUGCCCUCCAUUUGUGAUUCUCUUGGAUGAAAGUUCAUCCCUUGCUAUGGCAACUCAUACUCAUGAACUUUAACACUCUUUUUAGGAAGAAGUAAAGUAAGAUUUUUUAUGGUUUUUAGACCAUGAUAAGUUUUUUGGAAAAUUUUUUUAAGGUAUUUGAAAGUUUUAAAGAGAAGACCUUCUAAAUCCACUGAUUUAAUGAGUUGGCUGUGGAAUUUUUUGGAAAAACCUCCAAGAACCUUACUUCAAACGGCUUCAAGUUUUCGCAAACAUAAACCUUAAAAAACCUCUCAUUACUUUAAAAAAAUCUCCUCCCAGAUGAAGGAUAAAUGAUCUUUAUAUGAUAGUAUAUGUUGAUGACUGGUUUUACACUAUAUGUGUCGAAAUUGACCUAAUUGGAUUGUGUUUAGUGUUUGAAGAGAGUGGAAUAUGUAAAUGUCACUUCUUGAUCCUUGUGUCGAAAACUCUCCUUCAGGGGAUCAGAAACUGGCUGCAAUUGGGAUAAAAGUUUCUCAAUGGAUAACUUAUCAUGGUUUGGCACUCAAUGUCACCACAGAUUUGAAACCUUUUGAUUGGAUAGUCCCAUGUGGGAUUAGGAACAGAAAGGUUGGAAGCAUUAAGGGAUUACUAGAGGAGGUCAGGCUGUGUAAUGGAAGUGUUGAUGGAGAUGUGCAUCAUUUUGAUGAUUCCCAGCUGAUUGAUAUUACUUCCAAAUCCUUGAUCAGAGAAUUUUCUGAAGUUUUCCAGCUUAAGAUUGUCAUGAAACAAUACCCAAUUUGAGGAUUUUGGAGAAGAACCAUAAAAGGCUUACUGGUGGAAGAUUGUGUAACUGGGUUCUUGUCUGAAACAUUUGUGGUUAAGAUCUUCAUAAUCCAAGGAGUCAUUCUGCUAACAGUGGCAGAAUCUUCAUAACUUUGCAUUUUAAUGUAGUCACACUGUAGUUUUGUUUUCAUUACAAUGUACCUUAUUCUGAAAUCAAAAUUCAAGAAUUGCUUAGCUCUGUUGAAAACUCAAGAUGUUUCCUACUGUUUUUGGAAUUCAAUCUAAGCAAGUUCAACAAAACUAGCCUUGAUGUGAUCUUGUUCUUUAAUUCACCUGAUAGCCAGAUUCUGACCUUUUUGACCUAAAUUGCAGAUAAGUAUCCUUGCAGGUAGGGAUGUCAGUCGGGCGGGUUUUUGCGGGUACCCGAUCCGUCCAAACCCUAUUAGGACNNNNNNNNNNNNNNNNNNNNNNNNNNNNNNNNNNNNNNNNNNNNNNNNNNNNNNNNNNNNNNNNNNNNNNNNNNNNNNNNNNNNNNNNNNNNNNNNNNNNNNNNNNNNNNNNNNNNNNNNNNNNNNNNNNNNNNNNNNNNNNNNNNNNNNNNNNNNNNNNNNNNNNNNNNNNNNNNNNNNNNNNNNNNNNNNNNNNNNNNNNNNNNNNNNNNNNNNNNNNNNNNNNNNNNNNNNNNNNNNNNNNNNNNNNNGAUUAUAAAUCAUUAUUUGCUGGGUUGCUGAGUUGCUGGUUCUUGUUAUUGAACACACUGUUGGGUUUGCUGGGUUGUGCAACUGUUAGGUGUAGUUUAUUUGACAGUUUUUCUCAUCGAAUUGAAUUAAAAAAAUCGGGUUCGGGUAUUGUGCGGGUAUUGCUAAACGGGUUCGGGACGGGUUCGGAUAGUAAAAAUAAAAUAUUAAACGGAUUUGGGACGGGUUCGGAUUUUGUAAAUAUAAUCGGGUUCGGAUUUGGGUACCCUGAAUUUCGCGGGUACCCUACCCGUUGCCAUCCCUACUUGCAGGCCUGUAAUGAGACCCCAUUUCUUUGGGCUAAAUUGCAGAUAUGGCCUCUGAAUUUGAUCAGUUACAGCCAACAUAAAGCAUCACAUGAUGCCACAGUUUGCGGAUAAUAACUAGCGCAAAUAUGUUAUGGAAUUCUUGGUGCCAAUUUGCUACAGACAUACACAGUCCUAUUGAUAUGAAAGAAAUACAAGACAGCAAUGACAAAACCCUUUUUCCCCUUGAGGUAUAAAUAGUAUCUUUAACCCCAUUUUGAAAAGGAUACUAGCUUGGUUUACACUCAAGCCAUUAUUGCACAUCAUAUGCCAAUUAUAAGUUUAUUUGUAAUUUAUAAAUGCAUUAUUCUAUAAGGUGGACCUGGUCUUUUUUUUUUUUUUUUUCAUGACAAACAUUUCUAAAACUCUUAACUCAUGUGAGAAAUUAUAUUUUCUAUAUGAUAUACUAUUUUUAAAGUAAUAUUACACAUUUGCAUAUAAUAUUCAUGGCUUUUAAAUAUAAAAUUAGUAUUUCCUUCAUUUCAGAGAGAUGGACUUAUAGUUAUUUUAUGAAAAAGAAAUGUAGUUAAUAUAGUUAAAAUAGAAGGUUUAUUUUGUCUUUUCUCCUAUGCCCUUCCCUUAUAAAUUUUUAUUAUUAAAUUAUUUUUAAAAUUAAUAAAUUGUGUCUUUAUAUUUAGGCUUCGUUUGGUUGGGGCUAACUUAGAAAGGAAAAUUCAACUUUCCAUAAAGUAUAAAAUGUUUGACUUAUUUGAUUUUCAUGAUUCUAUAACUUCUUGGGAAGUUGGUGUGUGUUACUUUCCAGGAAAGUAAAUUCCCCCAAGUAAUUUCAAGUUCCUUUCUUUACUUUUUAUUUUACUUUUAUUUUUUUUAUAAUUAAGUGUUUAGGUGAAAGUUUAUAAAAAAAAUUGAAGAUUAUGUUUGUUGAUAGAUAAUGAUAGUGUAAAAAAUUUCAUAAUACAAUUUUGUUUAUAUUAUAUAUACAUUCAAAUAAAGAAAUAAAUUAUUUAAAUUAAAAAUAAAUAUUUUUUUAUAUUUUAUGAUAAUUUUUAUUAUUAUCAUAAAAAGUAUAUAUUAAUUAUUAUGUUGUUUGAGCAUUUACUUUUUAAAAUUUAAAUAUUUGGUUAAUAUAUAAUUUACUGUAUUAAAUUAAAUAUUAUACAUAUACUGUAUUUAUUUUCUGAGAAUUUAAUCAAAUUAUAUUUUUUUAAAAAUAACCUUUUUAAAAAUAUACUUGUCAAAAAAUUAACUUUUCUGAAAAUAAACUAUUUUGAACUAGACUUUAAUAGAAAUAUAUUAGAAAGAUAAUGAAUAAAUUAUUAUUUUAAAAAGAUAAAUAACUUUAUAUUUAUGGGAGUGAAGAAAUAAAAAAUAUUCAUGUUCAAUGAGCAUUAAUAAAUGAAAUAUUGCACUUAUUAGAAAAACCAUCAAAUCCCAAUAAUUAAUUUGAUUAUAAAUAGAUUUAUUAUUGAUCUUAUUAAUUAGGUUUUUAACUUUAUAAUUCAUCUUAUUGUUACGUCAGAACAUUGUGAUUGAUAAUAAAAUAAAGGUAAAUUUACUAUAUAGUGCUUGUUCCCCUUUUGUUUAUCCAUUUCAAAUUACAGAUUGAUUUUUCUUUUUAAGAUAAUUUAUAAUAAUUUAAUAUAACCUCUUUCCUUACCCUUUUAAACCCAAUUCCACAACUAGCAGCUCAUUUCCAAAGAAGCAUCAACUCCUCUCUACUGAAACCACCCAUAUCAGAACCUCAUUCCCACAUUUCCUGAGUUCUAGUCCAAACCAGCAAUCUCUGCUCCACUUCAACCUCACAACCGCAACCUACCCACAACAACCUUACCCUUUUUGUUUCUCAAAACUAUAAUCGAUAGACCCAUGGCUCCUACCUCUGUUUCGCUUUCCUCCAUAAUGCCAAACAAUCAAUUCUUCUCAAACCCAUUUGUGAGCACCAAAUCAGUGAACUGAGCCCUUUGUUCUAUGUUCCUCUCUCAUAUUGAUUUCUAUUUUAAUGUAUAAGUCUUUGCAGGAUUAGGGUUGAAACUUACUGGUUGAGUAUUUCAACCAUUUCACUUGCUCCCUUUUGAGGAUUAGGAUUGAAAUGGAAACAUUAAAUAUUAUCUUGUCAAAUAGAGUCUGAGCACGUUAUACAAAGAAUAAUCAUUUUCUAUUAAUAAUUUUUAACAUCAAACUUGUUAAAUAAUAAUUGGAAAUGUUUAAAUUUGAAAUGGUGCAUGUCUUGAAAGUAAAACAAGCUUAAACAACGACAAACAAAAACAAGCAUCAUUUUUUUACUAUUUUAAUACAAAAUAUAAAAAUAUAUAAUAUUAUCUUUAAUUUUUUAUAAUAUUUUUAACAUUAAAAAAAUAUUCUAUUUAUAUUCUCUUUUCUUAAUAUUAUAUUAUUUAUUUUACUUUAAUCUUAUUUAUUCAUUUCAUAUUAUUUUAUAUAUUCACUCUAUAUAUUUAUAUAUAUUUUUUUUUCUUUCAAUAUUUAAUUGAGAAGAAUUUUUAUAAAAAAUUAUGAAAUUUUGAAUUUUAUUAUAAAUUAAUAAAAAAAUUUUAAAAAAUUAAAUAAAACUACAACGGUGUCACGCCAAAUAUAAUAUGAAAUCUUGUUGUAUUUUAGUGUUGUGUUGGAGAUUAUUUUCAAUGGUAAAAUAAAAUUUGAUAAUGAAAAUGGGUUUAGCGCGAUAAAAACAACACAAACCAGUACAUAAAGUUACUAUGAAAGCCAUCAAAAAAAAGAAACUUGAUAUCACAACAUUUUCAUUUUUAUAUAGGCAUGGAAGAACCAAUUUGAGACAACAGUGGCACUUUAAUACAUAUUCCUCCAUUCUUUCAAACUUUAGAUAGUUAAUAAGGAAUGUAAACUUUCAGAUAACAAAUUCUGAUAAGUAAGACCACAAUCAUAUAUUAGUAAGUAAAACUCACUUACAAACCCAAGUUCUAUAAAAAUUUCAAAAUUAUAUCGAUUGAGCUGCUGGAAUUAAACCGGCUCAAUAUUAGCCACAGGCUUCCUCCACUGCCGAAGACAAAGAAAAAUCAAACAACCAAAAUAGAAACUUCAAUCCAAAUCUAAAUAUAGAAAAUGACAAGAAGAAUAAAAUCCAAACCCUCUUCACAAACGCUUUGUUUUUUCUUAACGCUUCUUUUUUCUUUCUUUCAAACCUUCCGUUCUCAUUCAAUUCCAUUUCAAUUUAAAUACUUAUCUAAUUUAUUUAUUUUAAUGUUUAAUUUACUAUAAUAUCUCUUAAUUUGAAAAUAUUGCCCCUCUUUUUUUAUAAGAAAGGACUUUAUAAAAAACUAAAAGUUAAAUAAAAUAACAAAAUAAUACUACAAUUAAAACAAUAAAAGAAAACUCAAUCAACAAAACAAAAGCAGCCAUCCAUCAACCUAAUAAUUUAUCAAAUUAUUGUUAUGACGAAUAGUAGAUGUGUAAUUGUGCACGUGCCUAUUUUAUGAUUAAAAUAAAUAAGAUUUUGUUAUAUUAUAUUGGUAAAUGGUAUUUGACCACGUGAUUAAUAAUCAUGUUUUUUGACAUCACAUACGGUUAAAACUGGAGAAAAAAACAAAAGCACGCGCUGAAUGUAUCUGCAACAAGCACGGCGGAGUGGAUGGGCGGCAACUACCAGUUUUCUAAAAUUGUUUUUACUGCAAAAUCAUAACGCCGCCGCCUUCGAAAACGAAGGCCCAUCACUGGAUUGCAAGGGCACUGUCUGCCAGAUGCUCAUCUCUUUGAAUUCAUCAUCCUCAGUUACAAAUUUAAUACACAACACCCAACUUUAAACGACAGCUACGUUGCUAAUAAAUAUCUAUCAAUUAAUUUAAAAUUAAAAUACUUUUCAUCCACUUUUAUGUUAUUUAAAUAUGGGAUAAUUGAAAAAAUAUACUUUAGGAUUAAUUGUAAUUCUGCCUAAUAUUUUUAAAAAAUAGUUAAUUUAAAUUUAUUUUUUAAAUAUUUAAAAAUUAUACUUAAUCAUUAAACUUUUUAUUAAUUUAUUAAUAAAAAUAUCAUAUAAUCAUAAUAUCAUAACAAUAUAAUAUAAUAGAAUAUAAUUAUUUAUAAUUAUAUCAUAUAUUUUAAAAAUAAUUAAAUUAAUUUUAUAUUUUUAAAAUUUUCACUAAUUAUAUCAACUAUUAAAAUAUUAUUAAUUUAUUAUUAUAUCAUUAAUAAAAACACUAUAUAAUCAUAUCAAAUACUAUAAAAUUGGUUAAAUGGUGAAAUUUAUUUUCAAAUUAUAUAAUAAAUUAAAAUAUUAAAUUUUAUUUUUUAAUCUAAAUUUAUCUUUAAAUUAUUUUUAAAAUAUUAAAUAAGACAUCGUUUGUCUAUUUUUUUUAAUUUUUAAUCAAUUUGAUCUUAUUUGAUUUUUUAAUAAUAAUUUAUAGGUAAAUUUAAAUUGAAAAAUAAAGAAUUUAAUAUUUUUAAUUCUUACCAUAAAUUGCAAAUUUAAUAUUUUUAUUUAAAAUUUUUAUAAUUUUAAUAAUUAUUUUAUAAAUAUAAUUUUUAUAUAAUUAUAAAUAUUUCAUAUUAUAUUAUAAUGAUAUGAGUAAUUAAUCGAUAUUUUUUCCAUAAUAAAUAUGGAUAAGAAAUUUAAAUAAAAUUUUUUUUAAUAAAAUUAAAAUAAAAAAAUAUCAAUGAUAUAAUAACGUCACAAUGAUAUAAUAUUUUUAUUUUUUAAAAAAAAACAUAACAUUUUUAUUAAUAAAUAAAUGGUUUUCUGUAUCGAUUUUAUGUAAUUGAUAAAAAUUUAAAAAUAUAUAAUUAAAUUGAUUAUUUUUAUACUAUACAAAGUUGAAUUAUAGAAAGAUUUAUAUUUUAGUUUUUGAGUAUUGUUAUUAUUAAUAAGUUAGUCCCUAUAUUUUUUAAAAUUUAUGAAAACAUCCUUAUUUUUUUUUUCGUCAACGAAAUAUUAUUUUUGUCAUCUUCUCUGUUCAAAAUAGAUAAAGGAUGCGAAAAAAAAAUUUUAAAAUUCAAUUUUACCCUCAAAUAAAAUCUCUUAUUUAGUUUUGGAUAUUGCUACUAUUAACAAGUCAGUCCUAUAUUUUUAAAGAUCUAUUAAACCGUUAUUAUCUUUUUUCAUAUAUAUCUAUUAAAACGCACUUAUCAUUUUUUUCUGUCAACGAAAUAGUCCCUUCUUCUCCUAAAAAAGAAGAAGAAAAAUAAAAAGAAUAUGAAGAAGAUGAAGAAGAAAAAGAAAAAGAAGAAAAAAAAUCUCUUCCUCUUAAAGAAUAAGAAUAAAAAGAAAAAUAAAAAAAGAAUUAAAUAAAAAGAAGAAUCAAUGAAAAAGGAGAGGCGGAGGAGGAGGAAAAUAAUGGGGUAAUUUGUAGGGCUGAGCAAAAUCCGGUUCAAACCGAAAAAACCGACCGAACCGAACCGAUUUGAAAAUUUGGUUCGGUUUUUUAUAUAUUUCGGUUCGGUUCAGUUUUAAAUUUCAGAAAUUUUGGUUAUUUCGGUUCGGUUCGGUUUUGAUCAGAAAAAAACCGAAAAAACCGAACUGAACCGAUUAGGGAUAAUAAUAUAUUUUUUCAAUAAUAUAGAGAAAUUAAAUUAUAUUAAAAUUAAAAUAUUUUAAUUAAAUUUUAAAAUACUAAAAAUAAAGUGUAAAAAAUUAAAAAAAUAUUAAAAAUCGAAACCGAUUAAACCGAACCGAAUCGAACCGAAUCAGACCGGUUCGGUUCGGUUCGGUUUCUGACCAAAAUCGGUUCGGUUCGGUUUUCAUAAAAACUAAAAUUUCGGUUUUCGGUUUAUUCGGUUCGGUUCGGUUUUGAACCGAACCGACCGAAUGCUCACCCCUAGUAAUUUGGUCUUUUGCUGUAUUUUUAACGGUAGAAAUGAAAUGAAAAAAUAUUUUUGUUUAUAAAUAUAGAGUUAUUAAUAAUGGUAAUACUCAUAAAUUAAAUUAUAAAUUUCUCAUAAUUAUAUAAUAUAAUUUUUUAUAAUUAUUUUAUAUUAUAUUAUAAUAAUCGUACGAAAAUAUGAUAACGAUGGAGUGAUGAUAUAGUAAUUUUUGUGAUGAUAUAACAAUUUUAUUAGUGAAUUAAAAUUUUAAUAAUUAGAUAUAAUUUUUAAAAAUUUAAAAAUAUAAACUUAAAUUAAUUAUUUAAAAAAAAUAAAAUAAAAUUAUAAAGAAAUAUAAACUAUAAGAUUUUUUUAAUCAUUAUCCUUCCGAAGAUUUAAAAAAAAAAAGAUAUUUUGUUCAUAAAAGGCAAAAAUGUCAAAUUACAAUACAAGUCCAAAGAAAAGUUGAGAGUUCAAAUCCUAAAAAAAUUAAUAGAAAAAAGCCAGAGAACCCUAGACUCAUUGACUUGAAUACUUCCCAAUCCUACAAAAGUAAAAAAAGAAGAUUUUUUACCAUGCAGGACUAUAAAGAUUUAUAAAUAUCUCUCUAAGCAAAGAAUUUUCUUUUUUUUUCUAAAAAAAAAAAAAAUCCACUUAGAAGAAGUCAUAUAGAUUCAACCGAAAGUUUCACUGAAUUCUGAUGAGAAUUAAUAUUUGAAAUUUAAAAGAAGGUUGAAUAAUUUUUAUGAAGCAAAGUUAAAUUUAAUGAUCGUACUGAAAUAAUCAUUAAAAUUUAAUAACCACAUAUAAUAAUUUAAUAUUCUUAUAUGUGAAUCGAUUUUUUCAAAUAUUAUUUUAGUUAACAGAAUGUAAUGUUAUUAUGUUAGUGAUUAAAUAGUUUGUUAUUAAAAAUAGUAAGGAUUAAAUUGUAAAUUUCAUCAAAUUAUUAGGGCCAAACCAAUAAAUAUUCUAAAUACUAAAACAUCUUAUAAGUUUUUUUUUUUUUUAACUAAAAAAAUUGAAAUUCAACUUAAAAUAACUCUCCAUAUUAUAGUGGCCUACAUUUUCCCUUCUUUCUAUUUCGUUAGAUGAAGAUUAAUACAAUAAAUAACAAUAUUCUUCAUUAAUUUUUUUAAAAGAUUAUUCUAAAAAUUGUUAGUUCAUCAACUAUUAAAUAUUUAUUAAUACUAAAAAUAAUUAUGUAUUUUUUCCUUUAAUGAGUGGUUUAUUAAUUAUUAAUUUUAAUAAUUUAAAUAAAAAUAUAUAAUUUAUUUAGAUAAAUUAAGUUCAUAAUAAACCAAAACACAUGAAUAUGAAUAUAUAUAAUUUUUUAUAAAUAGACUCAUAUUUAUAUAUUUUAAAUUUAUGUAAAUCAAAUUUAAAUAAAAUUUUCUCUUUUAUUACUAAAGUUAUUUUAAUUUAUUUUUUAAGUAGUCAUGGCCAAAUACAUUGAAUUGUGAAAAUAGAUAAUUUAAAAUUAUCAUAUUAUUAAAUUUCUAAAUAUAAAAGAUAAUUAAAUUGGAUUCUUUCAUCUUUCUGUUUGGCUACAAUACAAAAAAUCAUUAAUAAGAAUGACAUGAAUAGCAAGCAAUUUGAUCAAUUAUUAAAUAUUGAGAAAAAUUACAAAUUAAGCCUUUUCACGAUAUUAUAUAUAAAAUAAAAAAUUGGUCAUGAUUAAACUUUCUAAAUAAAGUAAAAUAUUUUUUAUUUAAUUUAAAAAAUUAUAAAAAAAUUAAGAAAAAAACUAUGACAUCCUUAAAAGAUAUUGAAAUUCAAUAUAUUUAUAAAUGAAUAUAAUUUUAGUAAAUAUUGUAAACCCACCGACCCGUUUUGGUCGGCGGUGAGAAGUGCGGCGGUAGGCGAGGCAAGGAGCUUGACCCGUUGCAGAGACUAAACCCACCGACCCGUUCGUACGCAUUUUACACGCGCAAAAUAUAUGGCCGGAGAAGGUAUAACGUAACGGCCUUUUCAGUUACGGCUUACAUGACAGCUUUUUUUUUUUUCCGGUUGCAAUAACUUUAUUAUUUCUUGAAGUUUGGUCUUCAAUAACUCUUCAAACGGGUGAAUUAUAUCUCUAUUACAUCAACAUAAAAAGUUUGUAACGGCAUGAUAUUUAAAUUUAAAUUCUAUUUAUUUAAUAGAAAUUAUUUUUAAAAAAAUAUUUUUAAUAUUUAAAACAGUUAAAAAUUUUAAUCAAUAAAAAAUAUUUUUUAAUAAAAAAAUAAAUCAUUCUAAAGAAAAUAACUUCAUCUUUAAUAAAAAAAUUAUUUUGUAUACUUUAAUACUUUUAUAUAAGUUUCGACGUAUAAAUUUUUUAACAAAUUUUAUUUUUUAAAUUAAAAUUAAGUAAUAAAAAAUAAAUUAUCUUAUAAAAUAUUUUUUUAUAAAAAAUAUUUUUUAAAUAAAAAUUAUUUUUUACAAAGAAAAGAUUUAGUUAUGAUUUAUAUUCAUAAGAAAAUUUUUGUAUAUAAUUUCUCUCUAAAGGGCACGUUUUUUCUCACAGCAUCAGAUGCAUAAUAUAUUAUAAUAUUAUUACAACCACUUAUCAUGGGAAACGUGAAGGGAUUAGAUUUCACAUAAAAAAAAAAAAACAAUGAUCACUAUGAAUUAAUAUGGAAAUGAAUUUUAUAUUAUUAAAUGAGAUAUUUUAUUAUAAANNNNNNNNNNNNNNNNNNNNNNNNNNNNNNNNNNNNNNNNNNNNNNNNNNNNNNNNNNNNNNNNNNNNNNNNNNNNNNNNNNNNNNNNNNNNNNNNNNNNNNNNNNNNNNNNNNNNNNNNNNNNNNNNNNNNNNNNNNNNNNNNNNNNNNNNNNNNNNNNNNNNNNNNNNNNNNNNNNNNNNNNNNNNNNNNNNNNNNNNNNNNNNNNNNNNNNNNNNNNNNNNNNNNNNNNNNNNNNNNNNNNNNNNNNNNNNNNNNNNNNNNNNNNNNNNNNNNNNNNNNNNNNNNNNNNNNNNNNNNNNNNNNNNNNNNNNNNNNNNNNNNNNNNNNNNNNNNNNNNNNNNNNNNNNNNNNNNNNNNNNNNNNNNNNNNNNNNNNNNNNNNNNNNNNNNNNNNNNNNNNNNNNNNNNNNNNNNNNNNNNNNNNNNNNNNNNNNNNNNNNNNNNNNNNNNNNNNNNNNNNNNNNNNNNNNNNNNNNNNNNNNNNNNNNNNNNNNNNNNNNNNNNNNNNNNNNNNNNNNNNNNNNNNNNNNNNNNNNNNNNNNNNNNNNNNNNNNNNNNNNNNNNNNNNNNNNNNNNNNNNNNNNNNNNNNNNNNUUUUUUUUUUUUUUUUUUUCCUUUUUUUAAAUAAGUCUAAUUAAAAUUAUAUACUUUUAAAUCUAAUUUAUUUUUUUUCUAAAUAAAUUUCUUAACUUUACUUUUAAGCCAAAUAAAUCUUGAUCUACUAAAAUAUUAUUUUUAAUAAUAAAUUAAUAUUUUUAAUAGUAAAAUUCCAUUUUUAUAAGUCUAAAAUUUAUUUAUUAUUUCUAUAUUUUUAAUUUUUAUAUUAAUUUUUAAAAUAUUAAAUUUUUAAUAUUUUAAGUUAUAAAAAUAAUAUUUUAUUAUUAAAAAAAUAUUAUAUUAAUCAUACUCGGGCUCAUACAGCUUGUUUUGAGUCUGAUAUCCAAAAGUAGGGUUAUGUCCCUCCGGCUUUCUUAAUUAAUGUUCUCUUAUUUAAUAGUCCUUAAUAAAUUUGAUCUUUUUAUUUAAAAAAAACUUUCAUAUUAGUAUUGAUAAAUCAAUUAAAUUGAGAGAGUUUAUACAAAUAAAUUAUCUUAAAAAGUUAAAUUUUAAAAGUUACCGAAUAAUGUUAAAAAAACUAAAAAUAAGUAAAUUUACGGCUUAGUAGACCAAACUCGUUGUGGGGGUAUAGUUUGUUGUAAAUAGAAGAGGGCAAAAUAAAUAAAAAAUCUCGUUUUUUUAUUAUUUUAAAAUUAUUAUUUAUUUUUUUACUAUAAUAAUAUAUAAAUUGAUUAUUAUAAUUUUAUUUAAUUUUAUAUUACUUUUUAAAAAAUAUUUUAAAAUAUUUUUUAAUAUUUAAUAAAACUUAAUGUAUUUAAAAUUAAUAUAAUAAAAAAUUUAAUAAAAAAAUAAUAUUUUUUAAUACAUGUAAAAAAUAAGAUAAAUAAAAAUUAUAAAAGAGGAGAACAGUGUUGAUCCUAAAAAUUGAGUAUUAAAAUUUAGAACCGCUAAAAAGUAAAAUUGAUCACUAAAUUAUAUAGCAGGAGAAAACUCUUAAAUUUUAUUUUUUAUUAAUUUGAUAUUAUAUGAAACUUUUAAACGGUAAAUUAUUACCGUAAAAUAGAUUUAUGCAAUAGGAAUAUGAUAUGUGGGUAACACAAUUUUGUAUAAAAAAAUAAGAUCGAAACACCAUAACAUUCAAUUCAUCAUUAGAAAAACCCUUAUUUAGAUAGGUCGAGUCUCGAUAUAAAGUAAUUGUUAUCAAAUAUAGUCCAAUAUAUUCAUAUUAUACAUGUUAUAGCAGGAUGAUUGACUUAUUUGCUGUCGAUAUUUUUUAUCGGACAGCCGACUGCUUAUCGUCUGAUUAUUAAAAAAUUCUAUACUUAUCUCUAUUUUUCUUACAAAUAGAAAAAUCAUAAAGGUAAAUAUGCGCUAUUCUCUUACGCUACUAUUCUGAAUUCUAAAUAUUAUACUCGUAAUUCUCUUUAUCUUGAGUUGGAAUAGCUGUCAUAAGUAUCCAGCGCCUCAAAUUUUCUUUUUUACAAAUUUAGCCAAUUAUAGCACAGUUCCACCUCGAUCACAUUAUUAAUUUAGUUUGAAUUUAUUAUUAAAAAAUUAAAUAAAAUUGUCACUUACCAAAAUUUAAAAAUUUAAAUCACGCUCUACUUAAUCUAUUUAAUUUUAUUUAAAUAUAUUUAACUUUUUAAUAAUAGUCCACAUAAUUUUUAUUUAAUCAAAAAAUAAAAAUCGGUGAUAAAUUUGACACUUUUACCGUUUACAAGAUAGCUUUGCUAGUGGAUGAGGUCUUUGAAUUACGAUCUCUACAUAUGCAUAUUGAUGAGAUAUUUUUUUUUUUUUAUAUAUAAUGAAAAUAUUAUGUAAUUUAUCAGUUAUAUUUAAAAUGUUAUAUUUUUUUCAUUAAAAAAAAACUAACAUGAAAAAAUUUAAUAUUAAUUAUUGAAUAAACUUAUCAAUACGUUUUUUUAAACGAGGAUCGGAAAUUAAAAAAGUAAAAUUUAAAAUUUCUCGGAUUUAUUUAGAUACACUUACCACUAAAUGCAGUCUCUUAGCUUCAACUGAUUUAAUUGUUGAUAAUAUAAUGGAAUAUAAUCAAAAUUUAUAUUAAAAUUUAACUAAAUUUACAUAUAUUUAUAUCUCUUUAUCAAUAUAAUAUGAUCUAAAUAAUAAACCCACAACUACCACAAAUUUACUCCUCAACAACAUGCCUUAUAUGCAAUUAAAAAAAAAUCUAAGACAACUUGGUCAUAUUUUAUAAACAUAUUAUAAAUUAUUUAGAGCCCAUAAUAAAAAAAAUAAUUUACCACAAAUUAAAUUAGUAUAUUGAGGAAAUCUCUAUAGUAUCUUUAAAACAAAUUUAAAAUUUAAGAGAAGUUUUAUCUUUUUUUUUCUUAUUAAAUUUAUUUCACCAUGUCUUAUAUGAUUAAUUAAAAAAAUAUUUUAGUUAUCUAAUUUAAUGGAUAGUACUGAAUAGCAUGUUGGGAAGGAAUAUAGUCAAUAACUGAAUAAUUGAUUCAUUAUCUAGAAAAUCUUUUUAUAAAAAUUGGUACAAUUUUUGCUUAAAUUCGUUGUAUGCAAAUUUUAAAUAUAAGUAUAAAGUUUUAUUUAUUUAUUUUUACAUAUACCGUGGGUGCAAAAUGAGACACUUAUAUUUUUUUAAGAAAUUUAUAAUUUAAUUAUUGAGUAUUAUUAUUAUUAACAAGACAGUUCAUGUAUUUUUAAAAACUUAAUUAAAAUUUUUUUUUUCGUCAAUAAAAUAGUUAUUUCAUUUAUUUUUACAGUUAAAAAUAUAGCAAAAUACUAAAUUACCCUCAUUCUCCUCCUCCUCCUCAUUUAUUUUUCCUCCUCCUCCUUAUUAUUGAUUUUUCCUACUCCUCCGUCUUCAUUGAUUUUUUCUCCUCCUCUUUUUUAUUCUUCAUUGAUUUUUCCUCAUUCUCUUAUCCUUUGGUUCUUUUUCGAUUUUUUUUUUUAUUCUUCUUCUUUAAGGAGGAGGAGUAAAUUCUUAUUCUUCUUUUUUUUUCUUCAUCAUCUUUUUCUUCUCCUUCUUUUUCUCCUUCUUUUUUUUCUUCUUAUUCUCCUUCAUCAUCAUCAUAUUCUUCUCUUUUUUUUCUUUUUUUUAAGCAGGAGGAGGAAGAAAGAAUAUUUCUUUGAUGAAAAAAAAAUGAGAAUAAUAUUUUAAUAGAUAUACGAAAAGAUAAGAAUAUUUUAAUAGGUAUAAGAAAAAAUAAAAAUAUUUUAAUAGAUAUAAAGAAAGAUAAAAAUAUUUUAAUAGAUUUUUAAAAAUAUAAAGACUAACUUAUUAAUAAUAAUAAUAUUUAAGAAUUAAAUAAAUAAUUUUAUUUUAGUGUAAAAUUAAAUUUAAAAAAUUUUAUUUUUUUAUCUUUUAUUUAAUUUUAACAGAAAAAAGAUGAAAGAAUUAUUUUAUUUAUGAAAGAAAAAAAAAUUUUAAUGAUUUUUUAAAAUUAUAAAAAUGUUAAUAACAAUAAUAUUUAGUGUUUAAAUUAUAAUUUUUUUUAUUUUUUUUAAUAUCGAUUACCGUGUGUUUUUUUUCAAGUCUUAAUUUUUUUGAGAAAAAAACAAAAAUAAUGCAUGUCUUUCACGAUUCUGUAUCAGAGCAAAAGAAGCUUUUUGAAGGGCAAUGCUCCCCACCACUAUAAAUAAUCAUAGACCCUCACCCCCACCACUCGCUCACCACAUUAUUUAAUUUUCUGCCUCUUAUUCCCAUAACCAAAAUCUCCCAAUUGUAUCUCCAAUAUCUCUGCAACGCAGCACCGUCAGCUUCUACUUCGCCACCAUCCUCAUGGCUUCCUCAGCCCUCCCUUCUCCUUACCUCCAAUCUCAAUUCCAGCCUCUCAGAAGCUCAUCUAAGCCCUCCUCUCGAAGAUCCUUUGUCUUGCCAAUCAAAGCCUCUAUUUCUGAUAAACCAUCUAUUGCUGCCUCACCGCCGUCUGUUUCCCCAGUUGAACCUUCCAAACUCCCUCUUCGCAAAAUCCCCGGCGAUUAUGGCCUCCCUUUUAUCGGACCCAUCAAAGAUCGACUUGAUUAUUUUUACAAUCAAGGGAAAGAAGAGUACUUCAAAUCUAGAGCUCAAAAGUACCAGUCAACGGUGUUCAGGGCCAAUAUGCCUCCUGGUCCUCUCAUAGCUUCCAAUCCACACGUGGUCGUUUUGCUUGAUGGGAAGAGCUUUUCUGUUCUUUUCGAUGUAACUAAGGUCGAAAAGAAAGAUCUUUUCACUGGUACUUUCAUGCCCUCCACAGAUCUCACCGGCGGCUACAGAAUUCUCUCUUAUCUUGACCCGUCCGAGCCGAAGCAUACCCAACUCAAGAACUUCUUGUUCUAUCUCUUGAAGGCUCGCCGGGAUCAUGUAAUCCCUGAGUUCAGUUCAACUUAUACCGGGCUGUUUGAGAGCUUGGAGAAGGAUCUUGCGUCAAAGGGUAAAGUCGGUUUCAACGAUCCCGGCGAGCAAGCGGCGUUUAGCUUCUUGGGCCGGUGUUACUUCGGUGUAGACCCUGUGAAUACUAAAGUUGGGACUGAUGGACCUUCUCUGAUAGCUAAAUGGGUACUGUUUCAACUUGCUCCGAUACUCACACUUGGCCUUCCUGCGUUUAUUGAAGAACCCACCAUCCACACCUUCCGGCUACCUCCUCAGCUCGUCAAAAAAGAUUACCAGCGACUCUACGAUUACUUCUACUCCUCCGCCGGAUCCCUCCUUGACGAGGCUGAGAAGAUGGGUCUCUCGCGAGAAGAAGCUUGUCACAAUAUCCUUUUUGCCACUUGCUUUAACACCUUCGGAGGCCUUAAGAUCUUUUUCCCGAACAUACUCAAGUGGAUCGGUCGUGCAGGAGUGAAGCUUCAUACCCAAUUAGCCCAAGAGAUCAGAUCAGUCCUUAAAUCCAACGGAGGACAGAUCACGAUGGCUUCUCUGGAACAGAUGCCACUGAUGAAAUCCGCUGUGUACGAAGCAUUCCGUAUCGAACCGCCGGUACCAGCACAGUACGGGAAAGCAAAGCGUGAUUUGGUCAUCGAGAGUCACGACGCAGCUUUUGAAGUAAAAGAAGGUGAAAUGAUAUUCGGGUACCAACCAUUCGCGACGAGAGAUCCGAAAAUAUUCGACAGACCCGAUGAGUACAUUCCGGAUCGAUUCGUCGGCGACGGAGAAAAGUUAUUGAAGCACGUGCUGUGGUCAAACGGACCAGAGACAGAGCAUCCAACGGUGGGAAACAAACAGUGCGCGGGUAAAGAUUUCGUGGUAUUUAUCUCAAGACUUUUCGUGGUUGAAUUAUUUCGACGAUACGAUUCGUUUGAAAUUGAAGUUGGAUCAUCGGCGUUGGGGUCUUCCAUCACCAUUACGUCGUUGAAGAGGGCGAGUUUUUAAGGCGGCUGUGGAAUAGUAAUUAAAGAAGAAAAUUUAUAGGAAAAACUCGGAGUCGUCUUCACAGAUCUCGACUUCAACAUCAGUUCAAAUUAAUUAUAUGUAAAAAAAAAUCGUAGGAUGUCUCAGCGCAGGCAUGUUUGUAAUAAUUGAACUAAAAUUUGCAGGGGGGCAAGGAUGUCGGGGUGGUGAAAGGGAUCUUUGCUUCUCUAUCAAUUAUAAUUUACAAUCUUCAUGUGCAGUGGAGAUUGAAUGGGAUGUUCUUUAAUUUAUGAAAUGUAAUUGUUGAUUUUGCCCCGUUGGACUAAUAAAAUUAGUAAUUUCUUUUUUCUGAAUAAAUUGCUAUUUAAUUUUUAAAUUAUAUAAAAUUAAUGUCUUUUAAUUUUUAAAAAUUUAAUUAUUAAUGACAAAUUCAAAGAUAAUUAUUAAAAAUAAUUUUUAUAAAAUACUUUUAUCAUUCCAUCUAAUUUUUUCGUGAAUCGGUUGCGUCAACGUUUUUCCAUAUCUUCUUUUAGAAUGACCAUCGAUUUCCAUUUUUAAGUCUUAUUUUUAUUUUUAAAAGAAAAUUUUCGUUAUUAUUAAUAAAUUAUUAUUAAAAAGUCAAAUAGAUUGAGGAAAAAAAAUAGAUAAACAAUGUCUUAUUUAACAUUUUUAAAAACAAGUCUUUUUUUUUUUUUG